rnacentral:lncRNA from 1 species
GGUCAAGUCCAUAGGGCAAUAUGGGACAGGUUUCAAGCCUCCAACGUAUCACGAGUUGAGGGUUCCUUUACUUGAGAAGGCAAAGAAGAAAACCGAUGAAUUAAAGAAUAAACAUGAAGUUACUUGGAAGGAAUACGACUGCUCACUCAUGUCGGAUGGUUAGACAAAUAAGAGGGGAAGACACUUGUUGAAUUUCCUUGUUAAUAGCCCGGAGGGGACUUAUUUCAUGGGUUCUGUUAAUGCCUCUAGUCAGUCUCAAGAUGCCACAAUGUUGGCAAAUCUACUUCAUAGCAAGAUCAAAGAAAUUGGCCCCGAGUGUGUUGUUCAGGUGGUCACAGACAAUGUCUCUAAUUACAAGGCAGCAGGUCAUAUACUAAUGGAAAGGAGACCUACACUAUUUUGGACACCUUGUGUCGCUCACUGUCUUGACAUUAUGUUAAAGGACAUAAGCAAGUUGAAGCAAUUCUAGCCCACAAUCACAAAUGCAAGAAGAAUCACAACAUUCAUUUAUAGGCAUGGUUGUCUUCUUAGUGCAAUGAUGGAGAAAAUGAAUGGGAGGGAUCUUGUGAGACCUGCCGUUACUAGAUUUGCUACAAUUUUUCUCACCUUGCAGAGUUUGUACAAGAAUAAAGAUGCAUUGAGACAUUUGUUCAUAAGCAAGGAUUGGUCAAAAUCAAAGUUGUCGACUACUGAAGCGGGGAAGAAAGUAUGUGAUAUUAUUAUUUCAACAACAUUUUGGCAUACUGUUGAGGAUUGCAUUAGGGCGUCAAAACCACUUCUUAUAGUCUUGAGGAUUGUUGAUGGUGAUGAGAAGCCUGUUAUGCCAGAAGUUAUUGUUGCGAUGGAAUACGCGAAGAAAAAAUCAAAGAUGCAUUUGAUAACAAACAAAGACUGUAUAAGAAGGUGAUUGAAAUUGUUGAGCGACGAUGGAAAAAUUAAAUGGAGCAAAAAUCAUAUAGGGUUGCGUUGUUUCUCAAUUCGGGCAAGUACUUUGAUAUCAAAGAGGAACGUCGGUUGUUUGGUAAUGCUUUACGAGAUGACUUCAAUGAUGUUCUUGCAAAGAUGGUGCCCGAGCUAGAUUUGCUAGACAAGAUAAGCAAUAUAGCCGACAACUAUGAUGCUUCUCGAGAUACUUUUGCAAGAGAUGGUGAUUAGGCAACGGAAAAUAAAGAAUCAUCGUAAGUAUAUUAAAAUAUAUAUAAAGAUAUAAAAGCUAAAUUAUGAUUAUAAUUUAUAUACAUUCUUCCUUUCCUCCCUUUAAAAAUAUUUAUAUUUCUUUUAAAUGUUUAUAUUUCUUUUGGAGCGCGGGCUAUUGAGCUAUCCUCGUUUGCAAAAAGAAUUCUAGACCUCUGUUAUUUUUCCUCCGGUUGCGAAUGCAAUUGUAGUACAUUUGAGUUUGUAAGUACUUUCUAUUGUUAGUUCAAAUUUCAAAAGCAACAAGUCAUUCACUACUAAUACUAAAAAAAAAUUAUAUAAAUAAAAUUUUAUCAUUAAUAUUAUUAUUUUUUGUUCUAUUUAUUUUAGAUUCAUACGAAGAAGAGGAAUAGAUUGAAAUACAAACAAUUGAGUGACUUGGUGUAUGUCCAAUACAAUCGAAAGAUCGACUCGAGGUUCCAAAAGAGGCGUGAACUUGAAAAUAAUUUUGAUCCAUUAGCCAUUGAUGACUUUGAAUGAGGUAAUGAAUGGAUCGAUAAUGAGGCCGAUGUUGUUCAUCUUGGGGAGGAUCUUACAUGGAAUGAUGUGGAUCGAGCUACCGGUGCAUCCAACACGCUUGAAGGUCGCAAUCUUUCAAGGAGAGCUCGUGCUAAUAGUGAUAAUCUCAUGACCUACUUUCGACGUGGUGGUUGUUCAACUUCAAGGGAAUCAAGGUUGAUGGAUUCCGACACCGAUAAUGAAGUUGAUAAAGAAGAGAGAAUUCCAAAAGAUGAUGAAGAUGAAGAUGAAGAUGUGGAGAAUGAUUUUGGAGAAAGACCAUCACCUACGCCUUUGAAUGAGAGUAGUUCUCGUGGAAGAGAUGGAGAUGACCUUUUCUAUAAUGAUUUUGAUUGAACGAUGUUUCUAGACUAGUGUAGAGAGUCUAGACAUUAUUUUGGCUUGUUAUGGUGGUGUUUUAUUAGUUAUUAGACUACAUAUUUGUGAUGGUUGGUUGCAACUUUAUUUUCUAUGUGGUGUUUGUUGAAUUCUUCAUUUCUUUUACUAAUUUUAAAUAUAAAAUGUGUUGUUUUUGGAUUGUUAUUGCUAAGUAUUUACAUAAUUAUACCUUUAAUGUUAUUCCAUAGUAUUAUGUUUUGAGUUUUAAUGUAUAUAAAAAUUUAUUGUCAAUAUACUUGUUAAGCAAAAUAAAUAAUAUAUAAAUAAAUUGCACAUUAUAAACGACAUGUCGCCUUACGGACGCCAUGGCGGUCGCCUUGUAGCAUAGGCGUCCAGGCAGUCGGCUACUGUCAUGACUCGUCGUGACGCCGUAACAACUAUGUAUACAAGCAAAAAGUAUUUAUGCUCAUUUGUUUACAUAAUACACCAUAAUUUGGAAGCUAAUUGAGGAUGCAACCACUGUUGUUCCAUCUUGUCAAGUAUCAUAUACUAAACUUCUUGUGUUGAGUCUUAUCAUGUCACUUAUUACAUGAUAAAUAUUUGUUCUUCAAAUAAAUAAGAAAAAUAAAAAUGAUAGCAAAAGUACUAAAGAAAUGAGAAAUAAUAUUUGAAGGAUGUUAAAGCUCAUUUAUGUAGCAAACAAUGCAUUAAGAAUAAAGGUUUUGAGAUCAGAAAUUGAAACUUGGGUUCAGUAAAGAUAUACUUCUGAAAUACACAGCAUUCCACAAUAAUGAAAUUUCAGCACCCCACAUAGUAAGAGACUAUUAGUAAUGUAUUUUUAAAAAUACACCACUAAUCACAAUAGUGAAGUCAUAAUACUACAGUUUAAUUUUGUCAGAUAUUAAAACACAUCGUAGAGAUACUAAAUUUCUAACUGCUUUAUCUUAUUUUUCAUAUAAAUAUUCACCUAGACUUUCCACUGCCUAACUGCUUUUCUUAAAAGUAGUCUCUACUGAAAAAGAUAGUGUAAGCAAUCAAUUUAAUCUUUUAAGUUCCUUACAACAGUAUUGCAUUAUUUUAAAUAUAUAAAAUCCAAACAACUCAGAGGUGCAGCUUGGGCAGCAAUUCACUACCCUUCCGAAGCCAGUAGUCUCUAAUUUCAAAAAGAUUUUAGUAUAUUAUGACUUGCGGUAAAAGGAGCCUAACAACUUUACUUAACUUUAAGUAAAGGCACGCGAGUAUUAGUUAUUUAACCAUCCGUAGAAGAAACCGUUACAAACUUGGGAGGGUGAGUGCAAACCUAAAAGCAUAAACAUAUUUCACAAUCUGAACAACUGUUUAUACUUCUUGAAUAAAAAUAUCAAAUAUUCUACUAGUGCAAUACAUAGUGAUUUAUUUAAUUAUUCUGUUUAAAUUUUAGAAGCACACAAUUACAGCACUCAAAAGUUUUUGCUGCAACUUGCAAUGCACUAUGCAAGGAAAUGAAUGAUCUUAUCUAACCAAAAGCAUGUACAUUUAACCAAAACAUAAUUAUAACUGUCUGGUACAAAGGCACAGACACAUACCUAUGAGAGACAAGACAAUCAGAACACAUGCACCCAAUUCAACUGCUCUGCGGCUUCCCAUUUUUGUAACAGCAAUAGUAUGCACAUUUUCAGUUAGCGUCGUAGACCCAGUUCCGGUGCCCCAUAGACCAGCUAAGACGCUAGAAAGACCUUCAAGACCAAUUCCUCGACUUAGAACACCUGGAGUUGGAGGUCUGGAUGCAACCAACAAUGAUGAUGCAUGGUAUGACCCAACCUAAUAAGUUGGGAAACAAACAAAAUUAGGAAUUAUUAACUAUCCAACAUUGCUAUGCAUGGCAAAUGCUUUAUGCAACAUUCUUUAGUAAUUUUGCUGUGAAUUGGGGUUUAAGAGGCUGUUGGGAAUAUCACAUUUAAUAGCACUAGCCGUAAGCAGAAUAGCCAAAUGAGCACAUGAGCAUAGGAGAUAGACCUUCCAAGUGCCUAGGUUGUAGACCAGACAACUCGUAUUGUCCAUAUAAUCAUAGUUGUCAUGGUGUCGCCUAGGCGACGACUAGGCAUCCUGGCAUUGGAGAAGGGUAAGGCAACGCCUUCGACGCCAAGGCUCCCACAUUGGUAGCAGACCCAAGUUAAGUGAUUAAGGCAUUUUUUACCAUGACCCAUCGGACUUUUCCAAUUACCCAAGUAACUUAACCCAUGACAUUAACCUAACCAUGACCCUACUCUUUUGAAUGAGAGUAAUACUCGUGAGGGAAACGGAAAUGACUUCGUAAUUGAUGACUUUGCUUGAGCUAUGACUAGAAACAGAGUAGACAGUGUUGACUUUUUCAUAGUGUUAGUUAUUAUGUUUUGAGUUUUAGUGUAUAUAAAAUUUUAUUGUGCAAUAUACUUUUAAAAUAAAAUAAAUAAUGUAUAGAUUGCACAUUGUUAACGACUUGUCGCCAUAAGGACGCCAUGGCGGGUGCCUUAUCGCCUAAGCAUUAUGGCGGUCAAUUACCAUCGUGUCCCACCUUGGCGCCAUGACAACUAUGCAUAUAAUUUAUAUGCUCACUCAUCUGGAUCAAUGUUUGUUAUAAAUAAUACACUACUUUCAACAAUUUAAAUGUUGACAUGUCUUGUUAAUAUAGAGUGAGCAUUGUCAUAAUAAAUAAUUAUUAAACUUUAAGAAUAAUGUUGAAAGUAGUUAAAAGCUCUUGAAUAUAAAUCUGACUUGGAAAAAAAAAUAGAGUGUGGUUUACCAAGCUGCAUUCCCUUGUUAAAUUUUACCUUUCCUACUUAAUGCACAUUUUACAUUCUUAUUAUUUGUUUUCAACUCAUAAUAUGCAAAGUCUAAAUAUACGAGGGUAUCUAGAACACUAAAUAAAAGCAGAUGACAUAUAAGAUAUAGUUUAAUAGAAUAACAAGUUUGUAAGAAAUAGAUGCCACCCUAUGAUAUGACAAAGUCGCCUAGGUGGUACGGCGGGUAUCACUAUAUCACCAAGGAAAGCACUCAAACCAGGACAACAGCUAAUUGUCCAAAUCAAGUUACCAUUCUUGACACUCUGCUCAGGUUUUGGGAAAACACAAGCAACUGGCCUUCCUUACAAACUAUGGUUUUAGUUAUGUAGGUGCAACACCAUGUUUUCUCAUAAAGAUUUAUGCCAACCACAUAAUAACAAAUAAAUUUCUUUCCAAUAUCAUGUAGAAUAAUAACCUACAACACUUGUCCUGCAAUAUAAAGGAAACUUUUGGAUUUGAUUUAAUUUUGGUCCCUACAACCUUCCUAAAUAUAAAUCCACCAAAAAAAGUUGGAACCAUUUUAAAACAUAGAAGGUUCCAUACAGAUGGGAAAAAAUAUCGAAAUUAUACCUUGAAAUGAUAUCCCAUAAUUUGCUCUGAUAUGUUUUUGUACCCAAUCAGUUCAAAAUCAUACAAGUAAAACUGAUUUUAGACAUCAAAUAAGAAAAUUAUAAACUUCUUGAGCUCUAUUUUCAUCCACACACACUUUGGAAAUUAAGGAGAGGUAGUUUUUCGAAAAAAAUUAUUAUUAAAAAAAACUUUUCUUAAAAAGCAAGAAAUAAGAAACAAAUAAGAAAGCAUAUACAUUUAUCUACAAGUUAGGACCAUGUGCAGGCGAAACAACAAAAAAAUAAAAUAAAAAUACAGCAAGGUUACCAAGGAACAGAUGAGGAUGAGGCAUACUUCUUUUUUUGAGUGCACAUUGAUGCGCAGACGCUCAUAGAUACAGAUGAAUGCAUUUUCUUAGUAUAACUGCAUUAGUGUUUUACAUUUUCUUAGAUAUGCAAUGUUAUGUCAACUCCAUGACCUGUAUCCAUAUAUACAUAUUUUAGUUUUUGUAACCCCUUGAGACACUUUUCUACUAUAGGACCUUGUUCGAAAAACUAUAGCAAAUUAAGAAUGAGACCCCAUGCAAAGAAGUAAGUUAUUAUCAUAGUUGUCAUGGUGCCAUGACGAGAUGCGACGGUAGUUGACUGCCAGCAUGGACGCCUAGGCUAGGCACCCGCCAUGGCGUCUGUAUGGCGAUAAGACGUUAACAAUGUGCAAUUUAUAUAUUAUUAUUUUACUUCAAAAGUAUAUUGAACAAUAAAAUUUUAUAUACAUUAAUACCCAAAUCAUAAUAACUAACAAUAUGAAAUACAAUUAUACGAGUACUUCACAAUCAAAAUUCAAAAAUAAAACACUUAGACAUUAAAAACUAGUAGAACAAGUCAAUAAACACCACAUAAAAAAUAAAGAAUGAUGACUUGUCCAUCACCCAUUACAAGUAUAAUAAGUAAUAAAAUUAUACAACAUAACAAAUUCAUAAGUUAUGAUGAGUCUUGGUAAAAAAAUGACUUAAUCACUUAAUUGGGCCAGCUACCAAGGCUAUGACAACUAUGGUUAUUAUACUAAUAAACUCUAAAAGAAAACUCAUUCCAAUCAAGAAUUUAUUUAGAUGCCAAGGAAAUUGCAAUUGAAACUAAACUCGAAAGGAAAAUAGGGAUCUGUAUACAAAGAUUUGAUAUUAAGAAUAGGAAAAUGAUAUAUUGCGACUUUACAUGUCAACUUUUUUAUUGCUAGUUACGUGGAUAAAUCUAAUUGGUAAUACUUUUACGACGUAUUGAUACAGUGGGCUAAUUUUAUAAUCCUAUCAAAUCCCAUGUAUUGAUAUACGUCGCAAUUGUAAUUCGGUUCAAAUUUUUCGCAAUAUAUAGAAAGACAGCAGUUCAAACUGAAUUCGCAAGGAAAAAGGGAUUUCUAGAGAAAGAUCAAUCGGAAUAAAUCAAGUAUGUUAUAUAAAUGAGAAGCAACUCACUGAAUCAACAGAUGAAAUUAUGGACACCGCACACAUUACAAGAGCCAUUUUCCAGCUGAAGACGGGUAUUCCCCAUUGUAAUGGAUAAGGAAAACUAAACCAUGGAGAAGAUUUUAAUGCCUGAGAAGUAUCAACUCGACAGUGCUUCAUUCUAGAAACGUGCUUUCUACAAUGCUCAGAUAUUAUAUUUGAGGCUGGUACAUGUACAUCACAACCUUUAUAGCUAUAGGCUCCUGCUUCAGUCAGUAGGAAAGCAGCCGCCCACGUGAUAGCCAGACCCAAUGGUACCUGGAGAUAAAUUAAAUUCCUUAAGCCAUGUUUACAGAAGGUCUGCUGUACAAUACAGUAAGACCCUAUAUGCAAAAAAAUACUCCCUCUAUUAACACACACACACACACACACACACGCAUAUAUAUAUAUAUAUAUAUAUAUAUAUAUAUAUAUAUAUAUGUGUGUAAAAAUCAAAAUCCAAGUAAAGAGUCCAAACUUUUUAAGGAAACUUCAACUUCAAUUUAAUUAAUGAACAAAGAUCAAAAGAUAAGUUAAUGUCAUAAGAUAUAUACUUUGGUUUUCAAAGUGCACCCAUUUUCAAGACAUCUCAAAAAGAAACAAUGGACUUCUUAAUUUGGACAGGUGUGUUUGGAAGAAAUAAAAAAUACAGCAACAUACUUGUAAACAAGAAAACUAAAAGAAAUGCAGCAAUGUAAACUUACCGCAUAUAUUAGAAAUAUGCGAUGACCAAAAACAGAUAUCUUCCUGAGGUACUGCAUUCAGUAAUUUAAUCAGUGUUAAAAUUAGUGUAAUAUAAAAUAUUUAGCAUUUUUGACAUUUCCAAACAGCAAAAGAGUGGAGCUUCAUCGAACUUACAAGAGAAAAGAUGAUAACGAGUAAUAUCUGCACUGCACCAAUCUCGAGACAUUUGCCCACUUGUGGAAAGCCAUAACUGUAGAAAGAAAGUCCAACAGCAGCAAUAGUUGGGGCCACAACCACUGGAUUAAUCAACCUGGAAUUCAAGUGCAAAUGAACUGAGGAUGAGUUGUUUGACUUGUUGAACAUACACAAGUAACCGUAUGGUAAAAGUGUAUACAUGGUGGAAAAUCUGUAGUGUUCAAAAAAUAAAAGAGCUAGACUUGCAUUUUGAACAGUAAAAUGCUCUUAAUAUUUGUGCUUAACAAAAAAAAAAUCAUCCACAGCAAGCAGCAAAUGUCACUCAGUAUUUUCAUUUGAUAUCUUGAUACUUUUAUCCUGUGGUUUAACAUUAUCCAAGAACAAAUGUAGAUAAAAUAAAAAUGACGAGUUAGAGAAUUCUAGAAAUAAUUAACACAACAAAAUGAAAAAUUGAAGUAUCUCAUUUUGGAACAUAAGCUUGAAAUAUCGACAAUAACAGGGUUUAUAGGGCACAAAAUGAGUAUCUAACCCUCAUAAAAGUUGAAAAUGCCUUUUCAUUAUUUUAAGCAGUAAAAUCUAAACAACCAACUAGAGGUCUAUUUUUUUAGAUAAAGAGAACCAAUUAGAAGUCUAUUAAAUCUCCAUUAUUUACUUCCGACACCCAGAAGAUGAUAUAUAACUAUACCCCGCAAGUUAUUCUCCAUAGAUCACAGAGCAGAUGGAAGAGGCUAUACAGCUGAAGGCAUGGUAAAAUGUAAAAGGCGAAGUUUUCUAUUUUUUUAGAUAAAGAGAACCAAUUAGAAGUCUAUUAAAUCUCUAUUAUUUAUUUCGACACCCAGAAGAUGAUAUAUAACUAUACCACACAAGUUAUUCUCCAUAGAUCACAGAGCAGAUGGAAGAGGCUAUACAGCUGUAGGCAUGGUAGAAUGUAAAAGGAAAAUUUAAGUGGUACCACUAUAAUUCAGCUCCAAGUACUCACGUGUCAGAAAUGUCACCAUUAAAGAGGUACAUUCGAGUUGUGUGGCAAGAAAACUUUUCUACAUUAGCAUUUCCAGCAUCGUUUACCAGGAAAAGAAAAGAGAUUCAUUUAUAAAAUUAUUACCAUACUGCUCUGAAGCAACAAUAAAUUCAAACAGAUAACAAGCAGUACAGCUGAGCUACUGACACGUGAGAAAACCCAAAUUAUAAGCAAAUUGAGAGAAUGGUUUAUCCACCUUCACCAAAACCAGAACAAAACCAUUUAAUAAACCAAAUAUCCACUCAUAUUAUUAAAGAAUAGAUACUAGCACCCUUUAUAAAAUCAACUCUUAACAUUAAAUGUAACUGUUGUAAUAUUCAGUUUAAUCUUGGGGAUUAUACUGUAACUAUCAUAUCUUAUUGAUCCUAUGUAUAAAUGAUCUCAUUGUCCGAGUUAAGAAGUUUCCGAUAAUUCAGGACAGAAUCAUGGGUCAACUAGAACAACUAGAAUCCCUAAAGUUAUGCCUCAAUCAAGGACCACAAUCAAAGGACAAAUAAUCCUACAUAUAAUCAGGGUCAUCUAGAAAAAGCUAAUAAAAAAGUAAACAAAUAAACUGAAUAUUACAACAGUAACCUAUAUAUUGUCCACCAAUCCUUCUUUAACAACUCUAAAAUUUACUUAUUUUUUGGUUGAAGAACUAAAGUAUUAUUAACAGCGAAAGGGAGCUGCAUUCCGCAUGCACAGAACAGCAGACAAAAACAAACUCUCCAUUCAUUUACUAGAUUAGACCAGCUGUCAAGAUAAUUCAAACAUUUCAUGUUGUUAAUAAAAAGUAUAAAGAAGUAAGUUACUCUAAACAUUUUAAAGCAAGCAGCAUUAGAAACAAAUCCUCAGAGAAAAUAAGCCUUCUAUACAAACCUUUAAGUUCUAACAUUAUUUUGAUUAUCAAUUCUGACUCAUGUACAAGCUUAUAAAUAUAUUAUUAAAUUAAUAUUAGUAGAUAUGAAGAAAUCCUUACCUCAAGAAUACCGUCAUUAAUCCACUAUAUCCCAAUACUGCUUGAAAAGCUGAAGCAAUAAUUAUAGCCCCUUGCAGUUCCUUCAUAAUAUGCUUGAAAUUCUGCAAGGUAAAUAGUAAUCAGAAUUGCAAUAUAUGCACCUAAAGAAUACUAUUUUGUUUAGAUAAUUUCACCACAAGAAUAAUUUAUUUCACAAAAGAAUAGAGUUCAAUGAAGUUUCUCCAAAAGCCUUACUCAAUGAUCUGUAGUAUAUCAAGGAUCUGAAGUAUUAAAUAACAUCUCUGCCAAGGGAACUUCGUACAAAUAAAGAACGAGCAUGAUUGAUUGGAAUCACUUCUUAUUAUUGAUUAUUUGGAUUCUUCAAAUUUGUAUGUUAUUUCUUGUUAUUGUGUGGAUAGACUUUUGUAUCUACUCAUGAUUAAGUUAAGUAUUAUGCUUUUACAUGUAAUUGAUGGAUUAUUAUGUAUAUAAUUAAUGUCAAUCAACUAAAGUGCGGUACGCUACAUAGGCUAAAAUGUGUUAUGGUAAUGUAGCUUUAUACGAGUGCUUAUAUUUAGGAAAUCUUAAAAUCCAAAUGCAAAAAAACUACGUUUGAUUGAAGAUUUUUUGUUACAUCAACAAGUUAGAUUUUUAAAACUAACUUCAACCUGGUAAAUAUGCAACGUUUGAACAUCCCAUUCUAAGUUAGAAUAUUUAUAUUUGUACAAUUGUAGAUGAAAUAACAAAAAAAAACAUUAGUACACUAAAUAUAGAGUAUUGGUACAUAAGAGUACCAUAUUCGGGAAUGUGAGUAGUGAGUACCAAUACGCGGUUCACUAGACUUAUAAGAGUAUAUGGUAACUCUGGUAUCGUAUGGCUCUAAUGCCUUCUUGCAAAUAAAUGUAAUAUCAAGAUACAUUCACAUAUAGUUAUAAAACUAAUCCAAACUAUUGAAAUUUGUAUAAAGUUCAUAUCUACAUAAUGGUAACGUGAUAUGCACAGUUGAAAGAAAUAUACACAAUUUAAUAUAGUUGAGUAAAAAAAACGACUAGAAUCAUACAUUUCCAUUCAGUCCCACGAACUCAGGGGAGUUAAUUAUUGCAAGUGCUGGAGCAAGAAAUACAAAAGAAGGACCCUGUAUUAACGGCAACCUCGAUCCAAAGGAUGUAUGCAGAAGUGUUGUCAUUCCUGAUACAAAAAGCACAGUCGAUACCACCUUCGAAGUAUCCUCCUAAACCCACUAAUUUCCAUCAGGCCAAGUCAUCUAAAAAUACAAUAGCUCAAAAUAAACAAGCUUUGAAAGAAACAGUAAAAUAAAUAGAUUACAAGUGCUCACAUAGGUGCCACCCAUUGCCGGAACUAUGACGAGCGGAAUAAGAAUCAACGAACCCAAUAUCGAUAUAAAAUGUUGGAAUCCAAAGAAACCGAUGGGAACUGAAAUGCAAACAAACCCACAACGGUAUUAACAUUGAAUUUUAUAGUUCAACAAAAAUUAACACUCUUUUCAUACUAAAAGAACUCAAUAUAGACCAAUAGAAACUCAAAUACAAGCAAAUGAUGGACUGAUUUAAUCUUAUCAUCUCAAUUGUUUUCAUCAUUGUCAGAAAAAUUAUAAAUAUAUAUUAAGCAAAUAUGAGAUGAAACUUAUUAAAAAAAUUAAGAUUUGCAUAGUUCUAAUACCAACCCUCUCUUCACCAAUGGCUACAGUACAAAUCACAAACAAAAACAUGUAAGCCCAUUUCAGUAUUAAGAAUACAAGAUAAACAUCAAUGGAAAAAUAACAUCUUUUUCCCAAGUAGAAGUGACAUAUAUCCCAUAUACACCAAUGGAGUCUCAGAUACAAAAGAACACUUAAAAAAUCAUAUCAAUAUCAAAAUUACUAAACCGGCAUUUAAAUAAAAAUGACAUCUUUCUCAGGCAAAUUAAAAAUAAAUAUAUAUGUAUAUUUAUAUAAUUCAAUAUUAGUUGAGUAACCAUAUAAAACUCACCAAGCCCAGGUGUAUCUCUAAGCUCGUACUUCAUAUGAGAGUGACGAGAACCAAACUCAUCAUCACCCACAGGCAACACAUCAUCGUCAUUUCUCACUGGCCUCCGACUCGGAGGUGGAGGCUCCGCCGUCGGGGCCUGCCCAUUCACACUCGGCAGGGAGGUACUCUUAGGCGGCGCUGCUGCUGCUGCUGCUGCUUCACCGUCCGAAUCCCUCCUCCUCUUCACCGUCUGAUUCUUGUCCGGCGUUGGAGUCUUUUCAGCUACUGGCUCACCAUUAACAGCGGUAGUGGGCCGAGGACGGCCCAAUUCGAGAUCUACCUGAGGGGCAGCUUUUUUAGGUUUAGGUUGGAUAGGGAGCUGGCCUGAAUCGCUGGCAUUGGUCUCGCCGGAGAACUUGGGGCGGAAGCCGGUGCGCUUGGCCCAGGAAGACGGCGGCAUUGCGGUGGAUUCUUCUGGGACUGGCGGCCAGGGUCCGGGUCGCGGACGCUUUGUGGGGUCAGAGGUGGCCAUGAGUGUAGAGCAAGAGUAGACUAAUUGAUCAUGAGGUUAGUGAUUCAGUGGAGAAAUGGGAGCAGAUCUGAGGUGGGGUUAGGGAUUUGAGAGAGAGUGAAUGAAAUCAGUUGGUGGAGAUCCUAGUGUUGGUAGUUUGAGAGAGAGGGGUUUGGAGUGAAGUGUAAGAAAGGGUGGGGAGUGAGAGUGUUGUAUAGUUCAGAAAGAGAGUACAGUUGACAUAAAAGGGUAUGGAUUUGGAAUGGUGGCGGUGGACUGGUGGAGUGAAGCCGCGUUUUUGGUCCUAUUCCAUUCCCUCCCUCGCUCACUCACUCACAGGCCAGAGCCAUAGGAUAAUAAUAAUAAUAUGAAUAUUAUAUUAAUAUUAAUAUGAAUGAUAGAGAAUAUCCAUAAAACAAAAUCAGUCUACUUCAUUAGUCCACUUAUCCAGACUUUAUUCAACAAUUGACAUUUCAGUCCCCAUUUUUAUUUUUAAUUUCUUUCGUAAUUAUUAUUGGGUACAAAUUUCUCUAUAAAUUUUUUUAAAUUUAGAAUAUUUAUUUUAAUUUUUGAUAUAAAAAUUUCAUACUUAAUGAUAUUUUUUAAAUAAUUUGUAAAAAUAAUUAUAAUAUUUGAAUAAAUUUUUAGCAUUUACAAUUUUUUUUAUUCUUAUGGGUUAAUGACAAAACUGUCCCUCUAAGUUUGGCCGAAAAAUAAUUUGAUAUUCAAAUUUUAAAAACUGUCGAUCAAUAACUUUAUAUAUUUAAAAACAACAAUUUAGUUCACUUUUCGUCAAUUUGGUCAAUUUUUGACCGAAAGUUGCCAUGUGUUAACUUUUGGUGAGUUAAAUAUGCAUUGACUAUAAUUUGACCUUUUUUAUGUCUCGGGGUGUAUAAUACCUAAAUAAAUCUAUUAUUUUUAAAUACAUAAAUUAUUUUGAUCUUGUUAUUAUUGCUUUUUCCCCCCUCAAUUUUCUAUCUCCCCAAGAACAUUCAAAUUCCAAUAUCUGAGCUUUACUUUCACCCCAAUCAAAACCCAAUCAAAGUAAAGUUUUAUGUAAGACCCCAACUUAUUAAAAAUAAAAUUGAAUUUUUCUUUAUUCACUAUUCUAAAUUAAUAAGGGUUAAUUUGAUAUAAUUCUUUGGUUAUGGGUGAAAUGUGCAAAGUUUACAAAAUAAGCAAGUAGUUAUAAAAUAUUCAUUAUCGUCGGAGAAUAUUCGUUUGGUCGUAGAAUAUUCUUUUUGUCGGGAAUCUCCGUACGACGGCGCAGUCAUUGAUGGGCCCCAUAACGGAAAAACGGUUGGAUGAAGGAAAACGACAAAGAUUGAGUUUUAUAAAUAACGACGUAAAUUGUUACCGUUAACACUGUUGGGUUACCUGGUGGUUAAAAUACAGUAAUACGCGUGGUUGCACAGUAGCACACGGUAUUGCACAGUAUUAUUGAAUUAUUGAUCCUUACGUAAGAAGGCACUACUCAAUAAUUGUUACAGUAGUUACUGUUCAAUAUUAUAUUUUAUUGAUUCAAUAAUUGCUGCGUUGAUAUUUUGUAUUGCUGUUGUUUCAAUAAUUGUCAUUACACAGUAUUUUCCAUUAUCAAAUCAAUAAUUCAUAUUAUUUGAAUAAUAUUAUCAGAUAACAUUAUUGGCAAUGUCUAGAAAGUUCUGUCUAAGGAGAGGUUUGGUCACCUAAUUGCGCGCCAGUAAGGAGAAAUCCUUAUUGGAAAGCCCCCUCUUUCCUGGGAACGGCCUGGUUGUCAGUACUGUGAUUCUGUAAUAUUAUUUUUAAAUAAUUAAUUAUUGAUUAUUAUGAUAAAGAAAAUAUUUAUUUUAUGUGGAUAUAGAUGGAGAAAAUUUUUAAUGUGACAAUUGUUGAAAAUUAAUAUUUUAUCUUUUUCUGAUAAAAUAAUUCAUUUAAAUAUAUUAUUUUAAUAAUAUAUUAACGGUGAUAUUUUUAUAAUGAAUGUGGGAUAUAUGAGUAUAUGAGGAGGUAGAGUAUUUUGUGGCAUUAAAUGUUUAACAUAUGUUUUGUGUGUCGGUGGACACAAUUCUUGACCGAAAAUUGAUUAUAGACUGUAAAAUCGUCCGUUUAUGGAUUUCGGUCAAUUUCUGUUUGGAAUUUGGAAAAAUUUUCUUCUGCAAAGUUGUAGAGAAUGGAAUUUCCCAUGGAAAGUCGCGAGUUUCGAAUUUUUCUGAUAAACGAGCUAUUUUCUACGAAUUAUUGAAGUUUCGGAAGAUAAAAUAAUUUUUAUUAAAUAAUGGGUGGGACCCACUCUUGUUUGAACAUGUGGGCUGCUGGAAAUUGGGUCAAGGUUGGCUGGUGGCUGAAGUGUUCAAAUGGCAUGCGUAGAAAUGUAAUUUUAAAUAAUAAUAAUUUAUUAAUUUAGUCUCCUUUGGCGUUCUAACAUUUUCCUAUAAAUAGAGGGCUAAGUUAGAAUUGAAAAUCACACCAGAAACUAAGUUUUCUCUCUUUCUCUCUCUAAAUUAUCGAGCGUAUUCUUGUGAGUAUACUUUGAGUGUUGCUAUACGGUGCGGGUUUCUGUCAGCACUAUACCGAAAUUCAGUCAGAAGUACGGUUAUUUUGAGGUAAGGGGUAUUAUUUUCUUCUUAAAUGAUAUUUUUUCUUCAAUAUCAUUAUGCCGAAGUAUUGGUGAACUUUUUUAUCAAAUUUGGAACUUGUUGUGUCGGGGUUACUAUUCACGUAUACGGCACUAUUCACGUAUACGACACUAUUCACGAAUACGGCACUAUUCACCGAAAAAUAAAAAUUUUUCUUUUUGUCCAAAAUAUCUAUUCUGGAUACUAGCUUUGAUUGUAUCCAUGUUUUGAUCAUUCUUGAAUUUUACACCAAUAUGAUUAUUUUCGAAGUAUUUUUGGACAUGGGUAAAACAAAGUACGAAUCCUUAAUCCUUAAUCCUUGUCAUUUUGUUUCACUGGAUUCGUUUCUUUAAAAAUGUUUUUCAUCAUCCUCAGUCCUAAAUGGUGAUAUAAAUGAAUAUCUUUGGCCUGUAGUGCAAAGAUGAACGAUUAACUGAUGAAUAUCUUUGGCCUGUAGUGCAAAGAUGAACAGGUGUUGAGAUGAACAUGACCAACUGGUGAUACAAAUGAAUAUCUUUGGCCUGUAGUGCAAAGAUGAUUAAAGAUGUAUAUUGAUUGUUAUUACAGGGAUAAACUAUUGAUGAUGGACUUUUAAACCUUAGAAGACAGUAGAAUUCUUUCUCUACGUGACUCUUCUAAUGGAUUGCUGUUUCCGCUGCAUUUGUUGAUCUAAAACUUGUUGUCUAUUGUAUUCUAUUAGAUUUUUCCCUGUUGAAGACUAACGAUAAUUUGUUGUAUAUUAUCUUAGUCAUAAUAUUCUUUACUGGGCUAGUUGAGCUCACCCUUUUCCUUUUUGUUCCAUUUUUCUUCUCAGGAGGUGAGAACAUAGCAGGAUCGAGUCGGGGUAUGGAGUGAUGGUUCUAGGAAGAUGUUUUAGCUGUCCUCACUAUUUCUGUAAAAUAGUGUAUGAAUAAUUAAUGAGGACUUAUUUGAGUGUGUAUAUUGUCUAAAAGAUAAUAUUUGUAUUCAAACUCACAGUUGUAUUGUCGUAUUCUACACGACAUCUGUAUUGUCAAAGUUGUAAUUUGCUUUCUAUACCAUAUAAUUUUGGCGACUCAGAAUGGAUGUUGUAUACCUAUUUUGGGGGCGUCACAUUUUAUUCUACCAGUUCAUCUUAAUGGUUGAUUUUAUUUUUUUUAUCUAGUCGCCCCUUUAAGAAUCACAAAAAGAUCCUUUAUAUAUAUCUCUCAGGAAAUAUAUAAAAUACAUAGGUUAAAAAUGAUGAUGUUCAAAUCCUAUAUUCAGUCACUGAUUUUAGCUGCAAUUGUCUUUUAAAUUUCGAAGAUUGCAUAUCAAAUUUGUCCCAUGUACUUGAUAGUUGGUGCGUUGCUGUAUCGAAUAUUGCCUAACCAUAUUCUUCUUCCUCAUCCUAUUUGCAUCAAUCACUAAUGAAAGAACUCUUGAUUACUGGAAACUAAAUUCAUUACCAUGUAAUCUCAAAUGAAAAUUUUAGGUUGAAUUUUGUUGUUAAAAUGGUAAACCUUUGAAAUAAUUGAUAUUUUUGAAUAUGAUUGUACUAUGAUUCAGAGGGCAAUGAUCAAAUUUUAAUCAACGACCAAAGUUUAGAUAGAUUGAAAGGUUAUAUAUUCAUUCGAGUUUAAUUUGGGUAUAAAUUAAUGUCGCUGAAUUAUAAAUAAAAAUAAAAAAAUGGAUGAAUAAACACCCUCGAUUAUAUUAUUGAUGUAAAGAAAAGAGAAAAGUUUACUCGGUAAAAAAAUAGAAGUUUUAGAAAGAAAGUGAUUUUAGAGAGUAUUUUUUUUAGAAUUUUUAUGGUUAAAAUACGGUCAAUAUACAUUAUUAUUGGUUAAAUUGUAUUUCUGACUAUUAAUUUGGCUGAAAUAACAAAGAAAAAGAAAAAGGAACGUAAUUGUUGUUUUUAAAUACACAUGUAUUAAUCGACGAUUGUUAAACUUUUAAGUAUCAAAUUAAUUUUGGUAACUUGGGUGACAGUCAUUAACCCUAUUAUUACUGGGACUUAGAAUUGAGAUUAGCUUGUGAACCAACAGAACUCCCGUUACCAUUCACCCAUUACAAUUCUACUAACCAACCCCUCCUCCUCCUCCUCCUCCUCAUCCUCUCUCUUCCCUCCUCACCACUUCCUCUAAACCCAAUCAAAACUCAAACUCUACAAGCAACCCAUCAAUUUUUCCUCCGCCCCUUAGGCUAAACAAAUAACCCUCCCCAAAUCCUCUAACUCAAUCAACGUAAAAGGCCUCAAAACCCAUUAAACAAUCCGAAAGUCGGGAUUUUUAUGGUAAUAGUACUGGAAGGACUGCUGCAAUUUAUGAAUAGCCAAAGUCUUCAUACUUUUCCAUUGUUCCAAUCAGAUCCGAAAAACGAGAAAAAAAAUAAUCAAAAGUCAGUGGUUUGAGCGAAUUGUUCUCUGGAUGCGAAAUUUGGAGGUGGUUUUGAUGAUUACGACGAGGAAGAGUAGGAGGGGAAAAUUAAUAGGCCAAUGCUGGGUACUGUAAAAAAGAGAUUCGGGGAUUGAUGAUCAGUGGAGGAUAUCAGAGUUGGUUGGAUUUCAGUUUCAUCAAAUGUUGGUCCCUGAUAUGAAAAACAACAUUGGUGAAUUUUGUUCAAGUUUAUGGUAUGUUAUGGAUUAUUAGGAUAAUAUAAUUCUAGUAUUGCUAUUAGUUUCAUUUGAUUUAUUGUUGAAUUGUGUUCUUAUAGUCUUUUAGAUGCUGAUUACUGUUUUUGGACUACAUAUGUGCUAGUGUUAUAACUCAUGUAUAGAGCAGAGCUACAUAUGCAUAUGCAAAUUCGAAUGGAAAAUUCAAAAUGGCCGUCUCUGUUGGCUGAGGGGAGACUGGCAGGUGAUACACUAAUGUUAAUAGUUGGCUUUACUUAUUGUUUUUAAGUUUAAUUUGAUAAUUUAUAGAUGAGUGUUGUACAUAUGUUUUCAGCUAAACUGUAUUCACCUGAUCAAAUUAAUUUUGAUUUAGUUUCUGGUGCUAGAUUGUUUGCUGCUACAGUCACAUCAAAAUGAUUAUUUCAGAAAUUUCUUUUCAAUUUGUCAAAUUUUAUGAGUUUCCAAAAGUGUGCAACUCACACCCCUAUGUAAUCUUAAGACAAUAUAACAGGGAAGGAAAUAACUCUCUGAAAAUAUAAACUUAUAGGUCGUUUGGUUGUCCAAAAAAGUAGUUAUUAUAUCAUCUGCAUUAUAAAACUUUAGUUGAAACCGUAUACUUCCUCAGUUCCAAAAUUAGAGACACAUUGACUUUCUUUGGUCAAUAUGCGAAAUUCUAAAAUUUUGAAUCUAUACAAAAUCUUUAGAUUUUAGUAAAAAUAACUAUAAUUGCUAGUAUAAACUAAUUAAAGAGUACUACUAAAUACUAAUUAUCAUAUUUGUUGUAUUCGAAACUUACACGAAUUCAUAUAAAUUUUAGAUUUCAAAAGGUCAAAAUGUAUCUCUGAUUUAUGGAAUGGAGGUAGGAUAUGAUAGAUAGUCUUUUCUUGAAUAUACGCCAUCUAAUGUUAAGUCAAAACAAUUUCCUUAGACAUGAUCUAAACUCUAAACUCGAUUUUGAAAUGAGAAAAAAAAAUAUUAUACUUUUGCGGGACAACAAAAUGGCUACUGUUGGGCCAUGAUAUUUUAGAUAUUGGGCCAAAAGGCUUGGGCUGAGCUACUUGGUUAAUCUACCGGGUCAUUUCAAUUGGGCCCGAUCAGUUGGGUCCUCUUUAUUGGGUCGGGUCGGGUCAGUGGGCUGACCCAACAGAUAUUUAAAUAUCUUCACUUGGGUUCUGAACCGGGAAUGAUAACAAAGAUAAUGGCUGACUGAUAUCUUACAUCGCAUUAAUGAGGAUUGGACAGUCGGCCAGCGGUGGACAAGGGGGAUGAGAUUAACAAGUAAGCUACCUGCAGUAGGUGGUGUCAGGAGGGUCGGUUGCAUGCAAAACCGGAUCUUCUAGUAUAUCAUAGCAAGGAGGUCGUUCAAGAAAAGGUAACUGAUAAUUUUAUCUCUCUCAAUAAACUAGAUAUUUUAUCCUCCAUUGUUAACCCUUGUGAUCACCUGUACUGACUCUCACGCCUGAGCUAUCCCCCGACGGUCGAAGCCGUCAAGCUUUUGGUGUUGACUGUGUUUAGUGUGCAGGAUCAGGACGUCUUACGUGAUUGGGACGUGGCAGAAGAUCUUGGCGUUAACAUUGGCGCUAGAAGGAGGGCUGUGUUCUAGUGUCUUGUAGUUUUCAAUCACAAACUUUCAUUUGUUCUACGUCGGAAAAGAUGGUGAGGAGUAGAGCAGAUACACCGGAAGGACAGCCGAGGGCUGUGAGCUCAUCUGUCCAACAUAUUUCUGUUAAGGAUCGUCUGGGUCCUUCAAAGAGUGCUCAUGAGAGCACUGCUUCCAAGCAUGAUUCAGGGGUUCUCGUUCGAGAGCCCAUGGUGAAGCUAUAGAAGAAGGUUAGUCUUUGCUGCUGACAAGGAGCGUGAUCAUGGCCGAAGACGGGUAGAAGGCUCACCGCCAAGAACUUGGCACCGAAGUGGAUAAAGCUGUCAAGCUGGCGAAAAUGGCAGACGGAGCAGAUGCUUCGGAUGGCAGAGCAGGAGCAGAUCCUUCGGACGACAGAGCUGGAGCAAAUGCUUCGGAUGGCAAAGCUGAAGGACGAGGCGUCCAAUUAUGUCCAGUCUGAAGGACAUAGUAAGCUUAAAGAUGGACAACCACGAGUUGGAAAGCAGUCUAUACACUUUGAAGACAUGUCUCGAGGCGGACCUCGAGAUCAAAGGAUACCCAGGAGCCAUAUUUCUAAGGAUCCGAAGAGGAUACCUCACCUUAGGGGUUCUCGGGGUUAUGGCACAAGCAGUUCAAGAGGAUAUUCACCGGAGAGUAUGUAGAAGGCAUUUCGUCUUGAGUGUCCUCGUAGCAGCGGAAGGGCUCAACAUCGAAGCAGAUCAAGAAGCCAUACUCUUGAGAGGCCGAAGAGUGCAUUCUACCCUAUCGGUUCUCGGGAUUAUGGUCGAGGCAGUCGAAGGAGUUGAUCCAGAGAGUAUACACCUCAGAAUACAAAUAAGGCAUUCUGUCUUGAGUAUUCUCACCACAGUGACAGAAAUUUCCACCGAAGUACACCUCAGAAUACAAAUAAGGCAUGCUGCAGGUUAGGAUGGAAAGGACCGGACCGUUCAGAAGAAGCUUUGAGGAGGUUUAUGUCCAAAUCGGCAGAAGCAGAGCUCAUGGAUGCUGUGUGCAUACAGAUAUUCUACUUCGGACAAUCAGUGCGACAGGCUGUCAAGUUCAGAUUCAGAAUAAAAGAUUCACUUUUUCACAAUUGAUCUUCUUCUUAUUGGUCCUAAAUUCACAAUGGUGUAAGAAGGACGGGGGACUCGCUGACCAUUCGAUGGUAGCCUUUUUGGCAGGUGGUCCUUAUGAAUUUGUCAGGCCUUUCGUGGUAGGCAAACUUCAUCGGUGUAAAGAGGACGGGGUGGACUUGCUGACCAUUCGAUGGUAGCCUUAUCGGUAGGAGUGUCCUCAUGGGUUUGUUAUACCCUGCGUGUUAGACAAAUUCCACAGUCCUUUUAAUAUUAUGCACCGAAGUAAGGAGGUUCGGUCGGACUCGCUAACCAUUCGAUGGUAGCCUUAUUGUCAGAUGUGUCCUUAUGAAUUUGUUCUACCCCGAGUGGUAAACAAAUGUCCUUAUAUCUUUGUUCUACCCCGAGUGUUAAACAGAUGUCCUUAUAUACGUGUUUCACCCCGAGUGGUAAACAAGAUCCCGAUUGUGCAAGGAGGAUCAGUCGAAUUCACCUUAUACAUGAUUGUCUCACACUUCGGUAACGAUAAGUAUGCAUUACUUUAUUUUGUUCAAGUGUUGAGUUCGGAUUAUAUUAUUAUUGUUCUUAACUGUUAUAUAAUUUGCUUGAUUAUUGACUAACAGUUUAAGAUAAGAGGCACUUGUAUAGUUUCAAAGUUGAUUGAUGCUGAAUUAUUGACAAGAAAUGUUCACCCAGAAGUAAUAAGGCAUGAAGUUGAUAUUUCAUUAAUAUUAACUGUUCACAAAAAGUUAUGAUUUUUGCAGAAAGUUCUACAGCUAAAGGUAAAGGGGAGGUCAUCUUCAGGAUUCUUCCUUGUCAUCACCGCUGACUAAAGAGUCUAGAAGAGAUGGAUCUAUCUUGGCCGCGACAAGCUUUUUCUUGCUUUUACUUCGGCAUAUUUCAUAUCCUUUGGCAUACAUAUGGACGGUCUCAUUGUUCAGCUCGGCGGAUUUUCUGUAUGCUGUCUGGAUUUCCUUACGAAGGUCUUCGGUCAGUAGCGGACCCAAAUUCCUAAGGGCCCGAAGCUCUUUGAGCUCUUCUUCAAACUUCUGACGAUGUGCCAGAUGCUUUGAUUCUUUGGCUUGGAUCGACAUUUAUAUCAAUGAUGACCCGACUUCAGAAUGGCGUUCUCCCUUCGGGCGGCAUCCUCUUCGGCUUCUUUGUAUUUGGGACGGAGGCACCCGAAGAUAGUGUUUGCCUGCAGAUGACCAUUAUUAGUCAAUCAGUUCAAAUUGAUGGGCAGCGAUGUAAAUGGAUAAAUCAAAAUAUCAAAUUCCUUUAAUCCGAUAUUUCAUUCCUUCGUCCAUCAGGACUAUGAUGGAACUAUUACCGAACCGAUGAUCAUCGGUAUCACGAACGCAUGCUAUUGCCGAACCGGUAUUUCAUUCUGGGGCUUGAGCUUCGGUAGUUAAAGGCGUUUCAGUUGGUAUUUCUGUAGAGGUCGACGAAGAUGAACCUUUGCGUUGCUAUUUGAUGUUAAUCAGAUGAGCUUCGGUAAACUAUAUUUUGGACCUUUAUUGAUCUUAUUAUAAUUCCUUUUGCCCUGGACCGAUGCCAUUUAUACUCUUUCAUUAAACAUCCUGUUUAAUAAAAGACUGGGGGGCAAUGUUAGGCCAUGAUAUUUUAGAUAUUGGGCCAAGGGCUUGGGCCGAGCUACUUGGUUAAUCUACCGGGUUAUUUCAGUUGGGCCCGAUUAGUUGGGUCCUCUUUGUUGGGUCAGGUCAGGUCAGUGGGCUGACCCAACAGAUAUUUAAAUAUCUUCACUUGGGUUCUGAACCGGGGAUGAUGACAAAGAUAAUGGCUGACUGAUAUCCUACAUCGCAUUAAUGACGAUUGAACAGUCGGUCAGCGGUGGACAAAGGGGAUGGGAUUAACAGGUAAGCUACCUGCAGUAGGUGUUGUCAGGAGGGUCGGUUGCACGCAAAACCGGAUCUUAUAGUAUAUCAUAGCAAGGAGGUCGUCCAAGAAAAGGUAACUGAUAAUUUUAUCUCUCUCAAUACACUAGAUAUUUUAUCCUCCAUUGUUAACCCUUGUGAUCGCCUGUACUGACUCUCACGCCUGAGCUAUCCCCCGACGGUCGAAGCCGUCAAGCUUUUGGUGUUGACUGUGUUUAGUGUGCAGGAUCACGACGUCUUAUGUGAUUGGGACGUGGCAGAAAAUCUUGGUGUUAACAGCUACUAACUUUUUUUUUUUGAAAAACCUUCCAAAUGAUUCAGCAGCAAAUCUUUUCCUAUGCGAAAAGAAUAGGAAGCUUGUCAUCAAUCUCUCAAAUUUCACAUUCAGCUGCUACACUGCUUUGUAGAAAUGGCAAUUGAAAGAAAUUGAACGUACUAGUCAUACCAGUUCCUUUCAUUAAAGUUAUUUGGUUUAUGGAUAUCACCUAGAAAGUAUGUUAAUUUUUUCUCUAUACCCACAUCAUUUGCUCAUGCAAGUAAGAGAUUUGUGCCUGGCUGUUGCUUUUAAAUGCUAUUUAAAAUGGGUCUACUUUCAGUUGUUUUCACCAGUCGUUAUUUUGCUUUACUUAAUUGGUGUAUUUCUUUUACAAAAAAAUCUGAAAUGUCUUUUAACUGUCUAUCAUAAUGGUCAGUGUUGAACAGGAGGAUUAAUCAUAAUGGUAUCUGGAAGUGUUAUGAUGGUGUUCAGAGGAAGUAAUUUUGCAGGGCCUUCUUCACGAACCGAGUCAACAGAUAGAGAAGGUGAUAAUGAUUUUGUAUUUUGUCUAGGAUGUUUCCUCUUUUCAAAAUCUUAUAACAACAAAUGGAAUUGAUGUGAGCUCAGUUUCAACAAAAAGCAAACCAAUUGUUACAGACCCUGACGAGAGCAUGACUGAAGAAGAAGCUGAGUUCAACAACCUGCUAGUAGAUGGGUUAGGUCCUUCACGGUAUGAUGACUGGUGGGGCACAGGGAUACUUGCAGUUCCAAUAGAUGCUGAUUAACUCGUUUAGAAAAUUCCUGGCUACAAAACACCUUUCCGGCUUCUUCCAACUGGAGUGCGACCUGGUCUAACAAAUGCGGGGAUGACUAAUUUAGGAAAUAUAGCUAAAUCACUUCCACGUCAUUUUGCUUUUGGUACUACUCGAGAGCAGAUUCUCUGUCCCCUUGUGUCCUUUUACUUAAAUUUUGACACAUGUUUUUUAAUUUAAUUUUAGAAUUAAUUAGUUUUAAGUAAGAUAGUAGGCGUCAAAAUGUGAGUGGAGGGACACAAGAGGACAGAGAAAUUGGAGACAGGGGAUCUGCUCUCGGUACUACUCUCCUUCUAUACAUAAUUUAUUUGUUUGUUAUUAUUAUUUUUGACAUUGAAUUUAUAAUCAUUUCCUUCACAAAAAAAGGAGAACUAGAAAUCAUCAAGGAUUGGAUUCUGCGAUAAUCAAGCUCCGGAGAAAAGCCUAGUUGUGAAAAUUGUGGUGAAACGUGGAAUCCAGAAUACUAACAACGAAUUAAUGGCUGAUGAGAUAAAGGUGUGUUGCAUAUUUCUUACUGAGGAAAUACAUUAUUUUUCUCUUUCUUAUUUUUAACCUUUACCCCCCCUAGAAAUCUUAUCUAAUUUGUUGUGCUCCUUAAUUUAAGUUUCUGUUUCAAAAGGCAUAUACUUCCUGUUACAGUAGAAUUGCCAAUUUACAUCGAUUAUUUUGUAGACCAAGGGUUUUUGGGAUUCUUGAAAUGCUUAGGGAAGCAAAGACCAUGGUUCUGUAUGUAAGGUUUGUUUGGAGUUUGAAGUGUGUUGGUUACAGUCAAGCACCAUAGACUAGUUUCUUCAUGUUCAUGUUCUGUGAAGAGCUAUUAGCUCUUAAUUUGUUUGCCAAUAACAAUCUGGGACACUGAACCGUGCACACCACCAUAUCACAUGCCAGACCUCAGAAUUUCUACCUUCCCCCUGAUAAAACCAGUAAACUGGGAAAGUAAUGAGGUUGGUUUUCGGGUGAGUAAGUUACUUUUUUCCACAAAAAAAAAUAAUCCCAAUUUUACUUGAGGCUAUGUCUACAAUUUAGCCAAAAAUAACUACUAACAGAUUUCCAAAAUUCUUCAAAAGAAUGGGGUAAAUUAGUACAUUUGCACUUUAUGUUCACAGAUUACAAAGAUGGGUGUAUGUGUUAUCUUGAAAAUAAAAUUUUAGACUAAAAAGGGUUAAUUUGGGCUAGGCCUGACAAUUAAGCUGGGCCAGCCCAAAUUGGUUGGAUCACGAUUUAGCUUGGUAAAAAAAAAAGCCUAAUUAUUAUUAUUAUUAUUAUUAUUAUGAUUUUUUUGUUUUAUUUAAUUUCCCAACUACUACUAAAUAGAGGAGAGAGAGAGAGAGAGAGAGGAAAACCGUUGUGAUUCUAAUGUUAAUAGUGCUAUUUUUUAUAUUAUAUUUCAUGUUGUUUUCAAUAAUUUUUUUUUAAAGUUAAAUGAGGGUAUUAUUAGAAAAGUAAUGUCAAAAAUAGCAUCAAAAAGGAAAGAUGACGAAUAAAUUUAGACAAAUCAAAAAGAAAAUUCGGAUAAAUAAACUUAGACAGAGGAGUAAUAAUUUUUUUCUAUUCAAAUAUUAUAAGUACUGUAUAGUUAGGACAGAUGUAUUAUGCAAAUUUCAAUUUGAUCAUACAGAGAUAUGCAAGCAAUCUUAAGAUAAAAAAAAUUGAAUAUAAACAAUGAAUUUGAGGAAGACUAGUAGGAGACGGAAUGAGUAAGAUCAAAAGUCAAGAUGAACAGAAUUAAGAGUGAUGUGUUUUUUAAAAAAAUAUCUUAAAAAGUUGGAUUUGAUUUUUCACUUUUGAAUAAGGGGGUAAACGAAUCGAAGUGAACAGAAGAUUGCUCGAAUUCGACUCGAAAUAUUAAAUUUAUAUUCGAAUUUGAAUUGUAUUUAAAUUUUUUUACUCAGAUUCGACUUAACUCGAAUUCGAUCCGAUUCGGAUCGAAUUAUAUAUAAACUAGUCGUGAACUUCAAAUUCAAGCUCAAAUUCGAGUUUUCACAAAAUAAUUAGUUUUAUAAUAAAUAUAAUUAUAAAUUGAAUUUGUUAUUUUACUUAGAAAUGAGAAAAUAUAUUUAUUAUUACACUUUACAAAUAUAAAAUCACAAUCACAAUUAAAAGUAAAAAUAAAAUAAUAAUAAUAAACAAUUAUCUUAAUUUGAUUUAAUUUAUUAUAUAUUAUAAAAGAAUGUAUCGAGUAUCUAAUCGAAUCUGUAUCAAUCGAGUAUGUAUCGAAUCACAAUCGAUAAUUCGAAUAGUUUGAAUAUUAAAAGAGUCGAGUAUAAUCUUGUUUAGAUUCUACUCAUAUUUUUAUUUAAAUUAUUUUUUAUGCUCAGAUUUAGAUCAUAUUAUUAAUGAAUCCGAGUCUCGCUAAUAUGUUUUCGAAUUGAGCCCGAAUCGAGUUCGAACUGUUUGACUUGUUUAUAGUAUUAAUAUGUGUGAAUGUCUUUGUGUAUAAUUAAUCCCUUAAAAUUUUAGCUAUACGUUUGAAUGACUGCUCAUUUUACGUUUAUUUUUAUUUGUUAAAAGUCACUUAAAAGGUUAAUAGAAUGUGUGAGAGUGCUUUAAAAAAAUGUGAUUAUUGACUUUGAUUAUUACUCUUGCUUAUAAUAAAAUUUUAAAUUGUACUUAAUAAAUAAAAAAGAAAAUUAAUAUUUUUACAAUUUUUUUUUGAUAUUUCCACAUGAAAAAUGUCGCUAUAGAUGUAUAGCGACGAUGAAAACCAUCGUUAUAGGAUCUAUAGCGACGGUUUCCAUGUGAAAAAAUAUUUUUCUGUUAUUGUUAAUUACUUAUUUUCAAGUGUAAAUAAUUAAAAAUAAAUGUUUAGAGAAAUAAAGAUAGGGAUAGUGAAACAACACGGGUCAAAUAUCGAGUCUGAAUCGAAUUCAUCCAAAUAAAGCGUUAAACCACUAACUCAAUAAUAUCUUAAACUCUCAGGUCAUCUUAGCCCACCACAGGUUCAUCCAAAAGGUUAUGUACUAAUGUUAAUAAUUUAAUUUUUUAUACACAAUUUUUUUUCAUAUGUUUGGAUGUGAGCAUGAAGUGUUACACAGUUACACAUAGUUUGACAUAAUUAUUAAAUUUGUGAAAUAAUCAUAAGUUCUUAAUUAAGUAAUUCCAAAUAUCUUUUAGUUAGAACGAAAAGUAUCCAAUAUAUAUGUAUAUAUAUAUAUAUAUCACACUACCAUAUAUAGCCUAAAUUAUGCUGUAAUAUAGUAAUUGCAAAACUAUUUGAGUAAAUCAAUGUCACAGUAGCAUGACGUUAUUUACAGGUAUAAUGAAAGACUCCCAAUGUUUGAUUGGGUUCCUCAAGUAGUUAGUUUAUGGAGUAUUACUAUUAAACAUACAAAUUUGCAAUAUAAUUUGUGUCAAUUAAUGUAAACAUAUACUACUACAAAUUAAAGUACGUUUGACACGGCUUACCUAAUAUGGCGACAAAUUAAGUCACAUUCAUGAAUGCAAGUCUUUGACAAAAGAUAAUUAUUAAAAAAUGAAAAUAAAAUAAUGUGUCAAAUUAUUAUAAUUAGUAGACCACAAAAAUAUUACUCUAGUACUGAAUAAUUUAUAUCUAUAGAUUCAAUACUAACAAAACAAAACUAUGUUUGGUAGAUUAUUUACCUACUAGUUUAGGUGAUGACCGGCCGCGAAUUCAAGUCUUCUUCUCUAAAUAAUUAAUAGCAAAAGUAUGUUGGGUAGAAUUUGAAUUUUUUUGAACUACAUUGGGGCAUGCAGCAUCUAAAUGAUAUUGUAUUAGUAUUUCAGAAUUUCUUUUUGAUUUAUAGUUGGUGUUAAGCAAACCCACACUCAUAUGUAGUAAAUCUUAAGACAAUACAAGGGAAUAACUCUAACUAUAGACACUCAUAGCUGAGACCAGAUCCUCUGUUUUCAAAUUCUCUAUUUAUAGUUAGUCUAGGUAUUCAAAAAAAAUAAUUAGUGUAUCUGUUGGGUCAUGAUAUUUCUCCUAUUUGGGCCGGGUAGAUUGGGCUCAUUUAUUAAUUUAUUCCAUUGGACUUUUAUAAUUAAGCCGUGGGGCUUGUUGGGCCCAGUCACUGUGUUAGCUUUAUUUAAAUCCUAUAGGACCGGGUCGGUUCGUUGGAUUAACCCAUUGGGUCACUUAAUAUCUAUUACUUUGACUUGUAAUGAUGAUAUAGCAUGACAGUUGACCGAGAUAUCUGCCAUGCAUUAAUGUGGAUGAGAUUAUAGCCGGCCGGCGGUAGAAAACAGUUGCCAAAAGCAGUGGAUAAGUUCCAUGCAGUCGGCAAAACCCAUCAGAUCAGAGGGGGUGUCAGGUAGUAGUGGGUGGCACAGUAAUCCAAGCAAAGAUAGUAUAACCUAACAAGGAAGCCAUCGUCUAGAGGUACGUUCUCACACAUAUUGAUUUUUCAGAUUCUCCCAUAUACACACAACUGAGAAUUAUUAUCUCUCUCCAGACACUAGACAGUACAUUCCUCCAUUGUUAACCUUGUGAACACAUACUAAUUCUCACGCCUGAGCUAUCCCCCGACGGAACCGCCGUCAAGCUUGUGGUGUUUACCGUGUUUACUGUGCAGGAUCAGGACGUCUUACGUGAUUGGGGCGUGGUAGAAGAUCCUGACGUUAACAUUGGCGCUAGAAAGAGGGCUUUUGAGUUCUAGUGUCAUUAAAAUUUUCAAUCACAAUCGUUUAACCUACUUCGGAAGAUGAUGAGGAGUAGGGAUGGUACGCCAGAAGGGCAGGCGAUGGCUGUUAGCUCGUCACUGCCUCGUGUUUCGGUGAAGGAUCGUCUAGGUCCUUCUAAAAGUGUUCACGAGAGCACGACCUCUAAGCAUAAUUCAGGAGAUCUCCGUUCGAAGAUUCAUGGUGGAGCUAGACGAAGAUUGGUUUUCGGUGCGGAUAGGGAGCGAGAUCACGGUCGAGGGCAAGUGGAAGGCUCACCGACCAGGACUUAUCGUAGAAGUGGUCAGGAAGAUAGAGCCGCUAAGUUGGCGAGGAUGGCGGACGAAGCGGAUAAAGCCAUGGAGGUCCUAUUAAAGCAAAGAGAAGAUAUAGCCGAACAGAUGCUUCGGGUGGUGGAAUUACGGGACGAAGCAUCUAGCCAUGAUCAGUCCGAAGGUCGAAGUGGGCACAAGGAGGUGCCAUGCCGAGAGGGUAAGGAGCCGAAGCGUUCCGCGCAGGUUUCUAAGGAUCGUUCUCGCGAUAAGAGGAGAUCGAGGAGCAGAACUCCCGUGGUCUCGAAGAAGGUAAUAAUGGCCGUUACCUCUCAGCAUCGAGAUGACUAUAGACAAAGGAGCAUAUCAAGCGAGAUUAUGCCCGAAGUCAGAAUAAGGGACUAUCAACGUGAUCAUUCUCACCAUAAAGACAGAUUUGUACACCGGAGUAGAUCAAGAAGUCCCACCAGGGCGGUAGGAUCGGCAGGAGGAGGUCGAUCCUCUCAAAGACGGAAUGUUGUUCGCGAGAAAGAGGUCUCCCCUCAGCACGAAGGCGUUGAUUUUCUAGUGAAAGAGCUGAAGGAACUUAGAAAGCAACUGGCUGAAGUUCAGCAGGUGAAGGACGCUCCGGGAAAGAAGGCAUCCCCUUUUUCCUCAGAUAUUCUCAAAGAGAAGGCAGACAUCACCAAGAAACUGCCUCGCAUGGAAAGUUACGAUGGUACCGGGGAUCCUUAUGACCAUAGCCAGGCGUUCGACCGGCUAAUGGACUAUUACGACUUCACUGAUGCUGCCAAGUGCCAUACCUUUGUUACGACGCUGAGAAAGGAUGCGAGACAGUGGUUGGGAACUUUGCCUUCGGAUUCAAUAUCCUCUUGGACCGAACUUUGUGAUAAAUUCCAUGCCCGUUUCGGGAGUAACCGAAGAAGAGGAAAGCCUACGGGUUCUCUGGCACAGAUCCGGCAGUUUACCAGCGAAUCUUUGGGCCAGUAUGUGAAAAGGUUCAGAGAAACAGUCGGUCAGGUGUCCGAUCUUAAUGAUCUCCAGGCUGUAGGUUUGUUCCAAAAUGGAUUAGAUCUGGUGAAAUCCGAGAAGUUGGUGAAGAAGUUGAUGUUUCACCAUCCGAAGAGCUUGGCCGAAGCCUUUGACAAGGCAGAAGGCUAUAUCGUUGUGGAAGAAGCUAUGAACAGCCUGAAGCAUCUUCCUUCGGACCAGGUGAAAGAGUCAAUAGCUCCCAAGGCCGAAAUUGAUCAGAGGAAAACGGGGGGGGUAUAACGAUCGGACAGAGGGCAGUUCGAAAAAAUACAAUAAUUCUUGGCGGCAAGGAAACAGUCAUCCCUCCGUUCCGGCCCCGAAGGUGAAUAAGGUCUACACCAAAUUAAACACUGAUAGAUCGAUAAUUCUGGAUCAAAUAAGAAAUCAACCUUUCUUCGAGCCGCCCCGUGAUAACUACCGAACCGGGCAGGGUAACUCUCGAAAAUAUUGUGGCUAUCAUCAAGCCGCUGGACAUGACACUAACGAGUGUUGCAAUUUAAAAGACUUUGUGGAGAGGAAGAUUAAGGAUGGCUUGUUGGUGCAGUAUGUGGCCGUGAAUGAUCAGCAGAACAUUAACCGUACUGUUCAGACGGUUCAAAGGACUCCAGUGCUGCCGCCAAGGCAUGUCAUUGAUGUGAUAACCGGUGGAUCUGCAGGGAAGUUGAUAGGGAGGAAGAGAAGGGCUUACCUGAAUUCGGUCAUGACUGUGAUAGAUGCUCCCCUGAAGGCGGAUAGACCAUUCCCCGGGACUGUCAUAUCAUUUACUGACGCUGACUAUCCUUCGGAACCCAUCGAGCCACAUGAGGGGGCCUUGGUGAUCACAGCGCAAGUGGGCACGGUGGACAUGAAGCGCAUGAUGAUAGAUAAUGGAUCUUCAGUAGAUAUUCUGUACGCCCAUGCCUAUCAGAGGAUGCACCUUGAUGGGCAGAAAAUGGAGGUCAUGCAGGAAGCUCCUUUAUACGGCUUCAGCAACGAUCCGGUCAAAGUUGCAGGCACUAUUGAACUCCCGGUUAUCUUCGGCACAGCACCCCAGCAGGUCGAAAUAGUAUGUAAAUUCUAUGUUGUGCACGUUGAUUCAGCUUACAACGCUAUACUGGGAAGACCUACUUUAACUGCUCUCCAAGCUGUGACCUCCAUCCCUCAUUUCAAAGUCAAGUUCCCCACGGCUCAUGGAGUAGGAGAGGUGGCGGGGGACUUGGAUCUAGCCCGACGAUGCUACCGGAAUGCUGUCAUUUCCUCUGGAGGGGGGUCAGCAAACAAAAGUAGGCGAUGACAAUUGAGAUUGAGCCCUUUACCGAAAGUAGUUCUGAACCGAUGGUGGUUCCUGCCGGAGGGACGGAGGAGUCGAGUUGAUUCUUGGAAAGCCAGACAAGACCGUGAAGAUCGGUUCAGGUCUACCAGAACCUCUUCGGACAAACCUUAUAGAACUCUUACGCUGCUAUGCGGAUAUUUUUGCAUGGGAACCAAGGGACAUGCCUGGAGUUAGUCGGAAGAUAGCUGAGCAUAGCCUGAAUGUAGAUCCCUCGAAGAAGCCAGUUCGGCAGAAAAGACGGAUCUUUGCGCCCGAACAACAGAAAAUCAUUGAUGAGGAAAUAGCAAAGCUGUUGGCUGCCAACUUCAUCUAUGAAAUUGAUUAUCCCGAGUGGAUGACAAAUGUGGUGUUGGUGCAAAAGCAGAAUGGAAAAUGGCGGGUUUGCAUCGACUACACCGAUCUCAAUAAAGCUUGUCCGAAGGACUUUUAUCCUUUGCCUCAUAUUGAUCAGCUCAUCGAUGCCACUUCAGGGUAUGCAUUACUAAGCUUUAUGGAUGCUUUUUCAAGUUAUCACCAAAUAUCCAUGCGUAAAGAGGACAUCCCAAAGACCGCGUUUAUUACACACCGUUCGGUGUACGCCUACAAGAAGAUGACUUUUGGCCUUAUAAAUGCUGGAGCCACUUACCAAAGAAUGAUGAACUUCAUCUUCGAUAGGCAGCUAGAAAGGAAUAUGGAGGUAUACGUCGAUGACAUGAUCGUGAAAAGUAUGCAGGUUCAGAAUCAUUUGGACGAUCUAGAGGAGUGCUUUCAGACCGUCAUUGUCAACUGAGACUCAAUCCCGCCAAGUGCACUUUUGGCCUCGGUGCAGGGAAGUUUUUGGGUUACCUGGUCAGUUAAAGGGGGAUCGAGGCCAAUCCAGAAAAGAUCCAGGCCAUUCUUGAUAUGAAGACUCCUCAGUCGUUCAAGGACGUCCAACGUCUGACUGACAGGAUUGUAGCUUUGAGGAGGUUCGUCGCCAGAUCUGCAGAGAGGUGCCUUCCUUUCUUUGAUACAUUGAAAGGGCCAAAGAAUGCGAAGACAUUCCAGUGGACUUCAGAGUGUGAAGACGCCUUCCAAGGCAUAAAGGCGUAUCUUUCUUCGGCUCCUUUAUUGGUAAAGCCCAUUCCUACAGAGACCUUAUAUCUGUAUCUAGCAGCAAGUUCGUUAGCGGUUGGAGCAGUGCUGGUUCAGGAGUUCAGUGGAAGGCAGCAUCCGGUCUAUUAUGUUAGUCACGUCCUGCGAGAUGCUGAAACCAGGUAUCCGAAUAUUGAGAAAUUUGCCUUUGCUUUAAUAAUUGCUAGUAGAAAGCUUCGGCAAUAUUUUCAAGGUCGGCUCCUGGUNNNNNNNNNNNNNNNNNNNNNNNNNNNNNNNNNNNNNNNNNNNNNNNNNNNNNNNNNNNNNNNNNNNNNNNNNNNNNNNNNNNNNNNNNNNNNNNNNNNNNNNNNNNNNNNNNNNNNNNNNNNNNNNNNNNNNNNNNNNNNNNNNNNNNNNNNNNNNNNNNNNNNNNNNNNNNNNNNNNNNNNNNNNNNNNNNNNNNNNNNNNNNNNNNNNNNNNNNNNNNNNNNNNNNNNNNNNNNNNNNNNNNNNNNNNNNNNNNNCACAGUAAUCCAAGCAAAGAUAGUAUAACCUAGCAAGGAAGCCAUCGUCUAGAGGUACGUUCUCACACAUAUUGAUUUUUCAGAUUCUCCCAUAUACACACAACUGAGAAUUAUUAUCUCUCUCCAGACACUAGACAGUACAUUCCUCCAUUGUUAACCUUGUGAACACAUACUAAUUCUCACGCCUGAGCUAUCCCCCGACGGAACCGCCGUCAAGCUUGUGGUGUUUACCGUGUUUACUGUGCAGGAUCAGGACGUCUUACGUGAUUGGGGCGUGGUAGAAGAUCCUGGCGUUAACAGUAUCAAUUAGAGGGAAGUGGUUAUAAAACUUAACCAUAUGCUAUUUUGUGAUAAUGUCUAAAUGCAAUUGCCUUAUAUAUAAAUGGUCUGGUCUGGUCUGGAAUUGAAAUGAGAAAAACAAAUUUAAAUUGUCCCUUACUCACUCACACUUCAAAUGACUUUGAUAAUCACAGUAUGCACAAUAGUACAUCCAGCGGUUUGGAUUCCUUCGUUCCUCACAAGAGUGGCAAUAGAACUCUUCAUCACCUUUUAUUUUAGUAUGAGGUAGGAGAAAUAGAACGUGGUGAUGAAAUCUUUUCGCAAUGGUGUAGGGUGACAUAACGCAAUCGGUAUGAUACACAUAAUUGCAGUCUGAACACCGGUAGGCGACGUGCUUCCCCAGAUCCCCACAUCCCUGGCACUGAAACUCGUAGUCGUACCAUCGAGGAUACACGGCCAGACAAAGAGGGUGUGGGUGCGAUAUGUGGUUAACAACAGACGGUAAGAAACCUUGUCUGAGAUUUGUUUUGAACAGGCAUUCCGGACACUCGGAAAAGUGUUUGUCGUGCGUUUCGCAUAAACUGCACCCCGGUUUCUCUGGAAAUGAGUAUUCACUGGGUAGUGCUUUGAGAAAUGGUGGGUGGUCUUGCGGCUCAAGUUCAGUUUUCUUGGGCAGCUCAGCGCAUAAUUUGUGCACGGAGAAGUUGCAUCCAUUACAGUUGUAAAUCGGACCGCAGUUUGGUUCUAAGCAAGCCAGGCAAGUACUAGGACUAUUACUACUUUUCUGCUCAACGGCAACAACUAAUUCAUGAACAUGACCACCUGUUUUCCCAUCUUGAUCGAUAUUAUCUCUCACCCCCUUAAACGUAUCACCUCCCCAGUCGUCAAAAUUAGCAGAAAUGCAUUCACAUGUAGCAAGAUAACUAAUAGCACGACAAAGAUCUGAAUCAAUGAUAUACCUUGUGGUGUUAACUAUGAGUUUCGAGAAGUUAUUGUCACCAUCUGAAAUAUCAGGUUCCAACUGCUUUUGAAUAUCUGCCCAUUACAGUAGCUUGUAUCUCUCGCCAAUGGUGCCAUCAGCACCUCGGCGCUGGUCGAACCGUCGUCGCCACUCAAAUUUAUCGUGUGAUUUGCAUUCGACAAUGACCAGACGGGCCCCCGUAGCAGUCGAUAGCUGAAGCAAUUGAUUCAGAUGGGAUUGAUGACAGAAUGGAGAGUCGAUUAUUACGUUGAUCCCAAAUUGCAGCUGAGCUGAAGCAAUUCGACAUACGGUUUUAUAGUUAAAUUCAUCGGCCUUAGCAGUGUCGCCGUCACCGAGAUCCUCUUGGUUUAUUAAAGUCCAUUUCUGAACUGCUGCUAUUGACCGAGCCACGGUUGUUUUGCCACUGCACGGCUGCCCCUUCAGUGCAACAACCACCGGUGUUUUAAGCUGCUGUUCCAUCUCUCUCCGAAAAGCCAAGGUAUAGACCGUUCGAAUUUUCAAUUUAGCUAUCAGACUAUGCGAAUAUUUUGAUUAGUUUACAUCAACUUGAUUACAACCUUGUAGAAAUAAAUAUAUAUUUUAAAGAAGAAAACUGUUCUGAGAACCACAAAGUACUUAAAAACGAACAAAGUCUCCACCACAACUCACCUCCUAUUCAAAAAUAACACGUGGCAAUUGUGAAGACUCAUCAUAUUAAUUAACACUUCUGUAUGUCUUUUCUCUGGGAGACGGUGGUGCCGAGGAGUAAUGACUCUUCAAAAUGAAUCAGAGAGUUUUUAUUUUAUGGUUUAAAUUUAAAAUGUAAUGAAAUGUGACAUGAAGAUGAUAGGAGAGAAAUAUAAUGAUGAGAAAUCCUAAAUUGAAUUUUUUAAUUAAUAAAUAUAUAUGCUAUAAAAUUAAAUUAAUUCCAAAAUGUCAAAUGGUCUCAUGUUUAAACGAUAAUAUUAUAUAUUUGCAAACAAAUUGAGAAUUUUUUUUUAAGUAACUAAUAUUUUCACAUGUAUUUUUGAUAUUUUUACAUAAAAUGAGUCACACUUUCAAGUGAAAAGAAAAUAUGUGAAAAUAUCAGAAACACACGUAAAAAAAGUCUUGCAUAAUGAAAAUUAACUUAAAUACUGUACAGAUUACAGUAGUCUCUAAGUCACUGAAAUCCGGUGUUCUUUGAGUUUAUGUGAAUAAAGGCAGAGAGACUACGAAAUGGAAUCAGAAGGAAAGGUGAUCAUAGCCAUGAAGGGUCAGCCAGGGACCGGCAAGAGCACUCUAGCUCAUUCUAUGGCUAAAAUUUUCAAAUCCCCAGUAAUCAACAUAAAUCACCUCCACCUUAUAAGUAUUAAUGAGGAUCUCAACUGGGCUUGUGAAAUUGCCUCCACUCAACUGGGCUUGGAUCUCAAAGUUAUCAUCGACUCACCGCUGUCUAGUCGUACCCAUCUGGAUAUGUUGCUGAACCUAUCGACCUCAACAGCGGCCCCCCCUCGUCGUGGUAGAUUGCAAACCUCAAGACAAGUAUGAGUGGGACAUCAGAUCUAGAAAUAAUAGGUAUGGCACUCCGCUCACAUGGCAGGAUUACGAAGAUAAAGAUGCAGCAAAGAUCAUAGUUGACACCACUUCUUAUGUGAAGGAUUUAGAGCUUUGCCGUGCUGUUGACUACAUAGCUGCCUUGGGAGGCACCGAUUCGUUUGAUUUUGAGGACUGGGUGGGUGAUGGUUUCAAGUCAAAGGAUGGAAAUAGAGAAAGAGGAAAGGUGUUGCAGCGUUUCCACAUUCACAAUUUUAGAUUAUCUAAUGAAAAUAAGGUAGGAAUUUCUUGUGAGGCAUGCCUCGAAUCCAUAUCUGAGACUGAGAUACAAGCAGAAGCCUAUUCCUAUUAUACAUGUGAUGGAUGCAACCUCUCCAUUCACAUUAAGUGUGCUGAGUCGGCCCCAAUGGAUGCACCACCUUCUCCCCUCCCUGACCUUCAUGAAUAUUGUUUUGCAGGGAAGCACAUGUGCAAAGCUCAUAAGAAAGACACAUUUGAGUGCCAAACAUGCCUUCUCCAAACCAAUAUCCGGUGUGGUUUAUUACCUUCCAUUCUACACCACAAAUACCACGAGCAUCCGCUGCGUAUUAGGCUCUAUCCGCGGAGAAAGAAUUUUGGGUUUCAAUGCCAGGCGUGCGGCGAUCUUGGCAGGCAUGCCCUCUACAAUUGUUCCGACUGUGGUUUUCAGUGCCAUAUCAAUUGCGCUCUUAAACCUCACACUUUGGAGACUGUGCAUCACCGCCACCGUCUCACUUUUACCUCUUUGUCUGGAGAUGGCGAUACGGAUUCAAUCUGUGACAUUUGUGAGAAUGCCAGAAAUCCAAAUUACUGGACCUACCGUUGUCCAGAUCCAGACUGUGAUAUCGCUUGUCACCUAAACUGCAAGACCCCCUAUGGGUCAUGAUAUUCAUAUGUACUAAUAAUUUUCCAAUUUUGGAUGCAAACUCUUGGGUAUGCAAAAUUCAGUUGUUAUUAAUGCUAUUUCUGUAUCCAGCUAGUUCUUCAUAUAUACUCCCUCCGUUUCUUAAUAUAAGUCGUUUUAGAGAAAUUUUUUUGUUAUUAAGCCAUUUGAGAAUUUCAAUUAAGCAUUAAUUGCUUACUUUCCAAUAUUACCCUAAGUAUUAAAUGCAACUUUGGUUCUCUAACUAUUUUUUGUCCAAUAAAUAACAAUCUCUUCUUCCAAUACAAGGGCAAUAUAGACAAUUGAUAUUAUAGUUAAUGCUAUACAAUCAUUACCUUAAUACUUGUGCACAACCCUAAAACGACCUAUAUUAAAAACGGAGGAAGUACUACGUUAGAACUUGUCUAAGGUGAAUGAUUAAUUUCCAUUUUAAAGACUUCUGCUAGAAGCAAGUCAUAUAUAGUUUUAUAGAAUGAAUUGAAAAAUAUACUCUUAGAUCAGACCUACCUACCUACCUCAUUAGCUCCAAAUUAAUUUGCAUUACAUAUUUACAUAUAUAUUUUAUUUGUAGACUGAUAUAUAUAUAUAUAUAUAUAUAUAUAUAUUAUAAAUUAGUACUCUUAUUUAGAAAACAGCUAAAUUCAUGUAUGAGGGAGGCUUUGGUGGGUAUGCCUAUGCCUAUCAUCGUACGUAGCUUAGUUAUUUUUUAGUCAGCUUUCGCCUUUCAGUAGUUGAAUCCUGAAUUUUGUUACUUAGAGAGAAAACGUUGCUUUUGGAUUACAUGUUCUUCUUCUUUUUUCUUUAUAUAUACGCAUAUAUUAUAAUAAUAACUUGAACAUUGAGGAAGAAUGCAGGAGGAAGCCUAUGCGCAAUCUACUUGAAAUUGCUGUAAAGAAGAAUGUGAUCUUGGAUUUGGAUUUAGAUGGUUAAAUUAAAUAGCCUCGAGGAGGAGGAUUUACAGCUUGAUGCAAGUAACAAAUACUAGCGAUUGGUUCUUUAUUAUACCUUAACCUCUAAGUAAUACACAAUUGUUCUUCUUCUUCUUGUCCGUAAACGUUAAUACUCGAUUCUCAUUUACUCCCUCCGUCUCCGGAUAAAAGUUUUGGUGGACUUUUCACGUAUAUUAAGAAGAUGAAUAAAAUGAUAAAAUUACCUAUAAUAAUAUCAUUAAAUAUGGAGAGAUAAUUAAAAUAAGAAAAGUAUGAGAUAUUUAAUGCUACUGGUAUAAUAGGAAAAUAUGUGUAAAAGUUUGGUUAUUAAAGGAAAAUGGACAUUUAACACGAGACUACUUAAAAUAGUAAUAAAGACUUUUAUCAUGGACGGAGGAAGUAGUUAAUAGGAAAUAAGAAAGAGAAAGAAUGUGAGAGCAAAUAUAAAUUAUAAUCUCAGUUACAUGACUAUAAUUCUUUUCAAAUUGUAUUAAUUGUUUGUAUUUUGUUUUUGUUUUUGAUAUAAAAUGGAGUUAGGAAAGAAAGUUUGUAGGGCUCAUUAUUCCUCUGCUAUUAAUCAUAGGUGUGUUGAGUUGGUGGGUCGAGCGAUAGGUUUACAUUUUGUAGUGGGGCCGGGCCAACUUUCACUAUCAUACUCAUCUCUAUAUAUAAUGAUUCAUAAUUGAGGUUGGCUAUAGAGUAUUAUCACCUAGUGAAUUGAUGAUUAAACGGUUCAUCAAACAAUUUGAUAAUAAAAUAUACUAAUGAUUUAAGGUCGACUAUAAAUUAUUAUUUACAAAUUAGGCAAAUAAAUAAGUUGGUAAUAAAAUAGUUUUAACGACCCGAAAGAAGGCCAUUACUUAUACAAUUCAUAACUUGCACCUAAUAAAGUAUUUUUUUAUGGUUAGGCUUACUAUCAUUUGGACAGAGUUAUAAUUCACUCUUUGGGUCAUAUUUUAUACUACUAGCAUGGUACCAUAAUGUUGUUACUGAAUCAUAUUUAAUAUGCUGUCAGGAAGCUGCUGAUCAAUUUCUUGCCCUUCAUUUCAUUUAUCUUCCUCUGAAUUUGCUCAUUAGAAUAACAUAAAAAAAUGAGGGAUUUUGCUUCUUGUUUGAGUGAAUAUGCAGUAGGAGUAGUAUCUAAUGAUUCUUGAGGUAAUGAGUCAAUUUUUGUGGAAGGAUUGUGGGUUGAUCUGUUUUGGGAUGUUUCAUGACUGGUUUUUUAAUCCGGGUUCGGGUUAUGCGGUGUUCAUGUUCAGGACAAGAAGUGGGAUGGAUAGCAGCAGCAGCAGAUUGUGGCUGGAGGAGAAAAAAGAUGAGCAACAAAAAGUUGACUUCUCUUUGUUAAUCUAUGCUGCUGCCUGUAACACCCACCCGUUAACCAAAUCUAUGUAAUGUAAUGUAAUGUGAUGAAUCCAGCAUGAAGUUCAUUUUUGGAUAAAUUGAUCAAUUAGCUAAUAGAAUGCUGACACACAUAGAGCAUCGUCUGCAUGUCAGCACUCUAUUGGUCAAUUAACCAAUUUAUUCAAAAAUGAACUUCAUGCUAACCACUUCCUAAUGUGAUGUAUGUUUGUUUUUUCUUCCCAUUUUCAUUGUUGAUAUUUGUCUAAAUUGAUAUUUUCACAUAAAAAUUAUUGCUAUAAAUUUUAUAGUGACGUUAAAAAAUCUAUAACAACACUUUUAAUGUAAAAAUAUUAUUUUCUCAUUUUCAUUUUGAAGGUUGAUUGUCUAUUUGUCUUCUUCCGGGCAAAACUACUAUUAAAUCUCAAUGCCAAAGAGUGCAGACAGGAACUUGUGAUAGAUAGUGGGGUUGUCUUGUCUACCCACAUUAAUUCAUGAAGGUUUGGAAAUUAACUUGCUUUACUCCAUCCCUUCCGUUUUAAAUGUAGUUUAACAUAAAUAUUUUUGUUUCUUAAUAUUUAUUAUUUAAUAAUUUCAAUUAAACAUUAAAUAUUUACUUGGUUUUCAAUAUUAUUUCAAAUAUUAAAUAUAAAUUUGGUUCGUUCAUUAUUUUAUACUCAAUAAAUAACACUCUUUUUUUAAUACUCAUGUAAAAAAGAUCACAUGAAUUCUACUCGCUGACUCACUACUCAUGUGAAAAACAUCGUGUAAAAAUAUUUAUUUUUUAUAUAAGAAUAUCAUUUCCCUAAUUUUAUAAUCGUAGAACCAUGUGAGCAUUAAAAGCACAUCUUUGAUUUGACAUUUUUAUUUUUAAAACAUUAAUUUUAUUAUAAUUCAAUUCUAAAAAUUUAUUUUAUUUUAUGGGUGUAGAGGAGAACUUUAGGGAAGAGGGCGGGAGAGAAAUAAGGGGAAAAAUUAUAAAAAAUGCUUACCUCUAAUCUGUAAUGCAUACUGAAUUCUAAUUUUAUCUUAAAAAUAGAUUGGAAUAUGUGAAUUUAUACAAUAAAAAAAUGUCCCCUUUAUUUUAAAAUUAAAGAUAUAUUUUUUUCAGUUUAUUUUAAAAUUAGAGAUAUAUUUAUAUUUUAGGACUAUGAAAUGAUAUGAUAUUUUUAAAUUGUCAUUAUUUUUUUACUAUUAUUUUUAAUAUCAAACUACCACAACUUAAUUCUUAGUUAAUAUUAAGACUAUAUCUAAAAAUAUAAAAUUAUUCUUAAAAAUCGUCGCUUGAUAAAUGUAUUUUUAAUUUUAAAACAGAGGGAGUAAAAAAUUAAUUACCACUAAACUAUAAAUUCUUAUUUUAUGUUUGAAUUAAAAGAAUGGAAUGAAAGACCGAAUGAAAUGAUUUUCAUUCUAUUAGAAUAAUUUAUCCUUCAAAAUCAUUAUUAAAUAUAUUUCUUUUUUUUAUAAUAAAUAAUAUAUUUCAUUCGUAUGUUCUAUUCCCUUGAUGCAAGCCUCGCCAUUGAAAAUGGGCAAGGUGUAGUUCCUAAUACGGCAGCAGUAGGAGUGAUCAUUCGAUUAUAAUCGAACCGAAUAAGCUAUUCGGUUAUAACCGUAAAUUGAAUUAGUGACAAUUUUACUAUUCAAAAUAAUAACCAAAAUUUGAAAAUAACCGAAUUACCGAAUUGUAAUUUCGGUAAUUCGGGUAAAAAUCAAAUCAGCAUCAAUACACACGACUAAAAACACAAACAAACCACAACUCAAUUAUUCAAUACACAGCAAACCCACAUAUAUAUACAUAUAUAUACACACACAUAAAGAGAGAUUUUUGUUACCCUCAUUUAUCAAUUUGGGUAUAAAAACUGGGUUUUUCGAAUUGAAUGACACCUUCAAGAGGGACAGUUUCUUCGCCGACGAGAGAGGCGGAGGAAGAGGAGUCUGCUUCAGUGUUGGUGGGUUUAGGUGCGACAGGGCUAUUGGCCUCGGGAUUAACAACGAAAAUGGGGGAUUUGCGAGUGGGUUUUGCUCGGAGGGGAGAGAAAUUGGGGGGGUCUGCGAGUAGAAAAUAAGGGUGGAAUUGGGUGACUGAAUUUUAAAGCGGAGUUGAGGGAUCAUCUCUGUGUAGAUAAUGCUCCCCCGCCUCCUACGCCGAUUGAAGCUGGAGUUUGUGUAAGACCCCGAAUUUUAUGAAAUGAAAGUAUUCAAUUUUCUUAUAAUUAUUCUAUUUAGUAAAUGGUUAAAUUGAUAAAAGGUUAAAGUUAAGGGUGAUAUGUGAAAAAUUUUCAAAGUAUGCAAGUUGUUAUAAAAUAUUCGUUUGGUCNNNNNNNNNNNNNNNNNNNNNNNNNNNNNNNNNNNNNNNNNNNNNNNNNNNNNNNNNNNNNNNNNNNNNNNNNNNNNNNNNNNNNNNNNNNNNNNNNNNNNNNNNNNNNNNNNNNNNNNNNNNNNNNNNNNNNNNNNNNNNNNNNNNNNNNNNNNNNNNNNNNNNNNNNNNNNNNNNNNNNNNNNNNNNNNNNNNNNNNNNNNNNNNNNNNNNNNNNNNNNNNNNNNNNNNNNNNNNNNNNNNNNNNNNNNNNNNNNNNNNNNNNNNNNNNNNNNNNNNNNNNNNNNNNNNNNNNNNNNNNNNNNNNNNNNNNNNNNNNNNNNNNNNNNNNNNNNNNNNNNNNNNNNNNNNNNNNNNNNNNNNNNNNNNNNNNNNNNNNNNNNNNNNNNNNNNNNNNNNNNNNNNNNNNNNNNNNNNNNNNNNNNNNNNNNNNNNNNNNNNNNNNNNNNNNNNNNNNNNNNNNNNNNNNNNNNNNNNNNNNNNNNNNNNNNNNNNNNNNNNNNNNNNNNNNNNNNNNNNNNNNNNNNNNNNNNNNNNNNNNNNNNNNNNNNNNNNNNNNNNNNNNNNNNNNNNNNNNNNNNNNNNNNNNNNNNNNNNNNNNNNNNNNNNNNNNNNNNNNNNNNNNNNNNNNNNNNNNNNNNNNNNNNNNNNNNNNNNNNNNNNNNNNNNNNNNNNNNNNNNNNNNNNNNNNNNNNNNNNNNNNNNNNNNNNNNNNNNNNNNNNNNNNNNNNNNNNNNNNNNNNNNNNNNNNNNNNNNNNNNNNNNNNNNNNNNNNNNNNNNNNNNNNNNNNNNNNNNNNNNNNNNNNNNNNNNNNNNNNNNNNNNNNNNNNNNNNNNNNNNNNNNNNNNNNNNNNNNNNNNNNNNNNNNNNNNNNNNNNNNNNNNNNNNNNNNNNNNNNNNNNNNNNNNNNNNNNNNNNNNNNNNNNNNNNNNNNNNNNNNNNNNNNNNNNNNNNNNNNNNNNNNNNNNNNNNNNNNNNNNNNNNNNNNNNNNNNNNNNNNNNNNNNNNNNNNNNNNNNNNNNNNNNNNNNNNNNNNNNNNNNNNNNNNNNNNNNNNNNNNNNNNNNNNNNNNNNNNNNNNNNNNNNNNNNNNNNNNNNNNNNNNNNNNNNNNNNNNNNNNNACCCUAUUCGGUUCACCAAAAUUAAAUAUCAAAUGACGUAUACAAUACGACACACUUAUCUAAAGUUCUCAAUAAAAUUAUUUCCAUACUAUUUAGGGAGAACCUCAACAGCUAUAGACCACCGUUCUAUUCCCCUGUUACCCUCGCUCGACCCAGCUACCCUCUUGUUACCUGAAAGGAAUUGUGAAGCAAAAGGGUGAGCACAAAUAGCCCAGUAAAGAAUAUCGUGACUAAAGAUAAUUAAAUUAUCACUAGCCUUCGUCAGUAAUAAAUUAGAGAUUUAGAACAUAUGGGAGAUGAGAAAACUUUUCAACCAUAGUUGCAGCGGAACGAGUAAUCUAUUAGAAGAGUCAAAUAGACCAUCAGGUCUAUUAUCUCCUCCAUGUUAAAAGUCCACCAAUAAUGGUUUAUCCCUGUAACAUCAAUCAACAAUUCCUGUCCACAAUCAUAUGAAUAACUCAUAGUCAUAAUUGUGAUUCUAAAUUCCUCUUUGCACCCAGGACGAAGAUAAUUUUUAUCACCUAUCUUCACCUGAAACAUCAAAAAUCAUGGUUAUACCAAAUCAAAAUUCUUGCUCAUGAUCAUACUAAUAAAUUCAUCUUUGCACUACGGCCAUAGAUAUUUAUUAACAAUUCAUCUUUGCAGUGCAGGCCAAAGACAUACAACUAAAUUUUAGAAGAGUCAAGUAGAGCAUGAUAUCUACUAUCUUUUACGAAUAAGUGUAUAAUCAAUAUUUUAUCGUUGAGACUAAGCUUAAUAAAUAAUCCACAUCAUCGAAUCAUCCCUGCACUACGGCCAAGGAUAUUCAUGAAAUCAUCAAUGGUCAUGAUUAUACCGAAUAAUCCCUGGUUAUAAUCAUACCAAUAACUGUCCAUCAAUGCACUACGGGUCAAUGAGGACUUUUACCACAUCAUCUAUAAUAUUACGGGUCAUGAUUAUACUGAAUGAUCCUUGGUUAUAAUCAUACCAAUAAAUAAUUCAUCUUGCACGUAAGCCAAAGAUAUACAACUGUAAAACCAAUAAUCAACAGUACAUCUUGCACGUAAGUUAAAGAUAUACAACUGUAAAACCAAUAAUCAACAGUACAUCUUGCACGCAAGCCAAAGAUAUACAAAUAUAAAACCAAUAAUCAAUAGUCCCUCUAUGCACGUAAGCCAAAGAUAUUUAACUGUAAAAUCAAUAAUCAAUAGUCCCUCUGUGCACGUAAGCCAAAUAUAUUCAACUGUAAAAUGAUUUUUAGUGUGUAGCUAAAAAAAUUAGCCCUAUCAUGCUUAACUCCGAAAAUUCCAAUAUUUUGACACAAUCUUAUACAUAUUAACGUGAGCCUCCAGUUUAAAUUUUGUGCACAUCGGAGUUAUAGAACCCCAGUUAUAGCCGUUUUUGUCAGAAAAUCACAAAAAUUAAAAUGGUCAUAACUUGGUCAUUUUAAGUCAGAAUGGGCUCAUUUUUGGACAGUAGGUACUUUAUACCAUAUAUUUUCAUGUCCCAAAAGGACGGAAUUUAUUUCACAAACUAAGUGGUCGAAAAUUCCCUUUUAAAUUUCUAGGCAGUAGCUUUUUGGUACUUUAUAAUUUUUUGACUCAUUUGCUAAAAUCAGUCCAUACGAAAAUCUAGAACACCUUUUCUAGUGAUUCCAUUUGGAUAAGUUAGAAAACUCAUAGAUCUAACUCUAGAACUUAACCACACUCAAAAAUUUGAAAUAUAAUAGGAGAUAUGGUCAAUUGAAUUUCAUGUUCCAUUUUCACCAAAAUCUGAUUUUCAACCCUUUGUGAUUUCUAAGAAACUUUUAUGUUUUCACAUAAUAACCAACAUAACUCAUCAUAACACUUACUAAUACUAUAUAUACCCAUGACUUUCAUCAGUCCAAUGCUUUUAUUAUGACUUUCAUCAUAAUCCCCGUAAACAGAUCAUUUCCACAAUUUAAUAAGGAAUGAAUACAAAGGAUCAUUCACCAUGCAUGUGGUAAUCGACAUAUACAGGUUAUUCCAACAAAAUAAUAAAGAAUGGAAUAACAGAAGAAUUCACCAUGCAUACGAUAGACCGCAUAGACAGGUUAUUCUCAACAGAAUAAUAAAGAACGAAACCAGGUCAGGCGUAAUCCGCACCGACAGGAUAUUCCAACAGAAUAAUAAAUAAUGGAAUAACAACAGAAUUCACCAUGCAUGCGAUAGACCGCACAGACAGUUUAUUCCAACAGAAUAAUAAAUAAUGGAAUAACAACAAGAUUCACCAUGCAUGCGAUAGACCGCACAGAUAGGUUAUUCCAACAGAAUAAUAAAUAAUGGAACCAGGUCAUGCGUAAACGCACAGACAGGAUAUUCCGACAGAAUAAUAAAGAAUGGAAUAAUAGAAGAAUUUCACCAUGUAUGCGGUACUUCGCAUAGACAGGUUANNNNNNNNNNNNNNNNNNNNNNNNNNNNNNNNNNNNNNNNNNNNNNNNNNNNNNNNNNNNNNNNNNNNNNNNNNNNNNNNNNNNNNNNNNNNNNNNNNNNNNNNNNNNNNNNNNNNNNNNNNNNNNNNNNNNNNNNNNNNNNNNNNNNNNNNNNNNNNNNNNNNNNNNNNNNNNNNNNNNNNNNNNNNNNNNNNNNNNNNNNNNNNNNNNNNNNNNNNNNNNNNNNNNNNNNNNNNNNNNNNNNNNNNNNNNNNNNNNNNNNNNNNNNNNNNNNUCCAUAUUGAUUUACUAUUAAAACUUAAAGCAACGGUCCAUACUGAUUCACUAUUAAAACUUUAAACCAGCGAUCCAUAUUGAUUCACAGUUAAAACUUUAAACCAACGAUCCAUAUUGAUUUAUUAUUAUAAUUUCAACCAACGGUCUGAAAAAUUAGCACAUCUCCUCAUGGAAUAAUAUUAUACCCAAAAAUGAUUUGGACCGAAAAGAAAUAUAUUUUUUGGGUGAAUAGUACUCCGUGAAUAGUACUUCGAGAAUAGUAACCCGUGAAUAGUACCCCGACACAAAAAGUGUCUCAAAUACCCGAGUAAACAAUUCUAGAGUGAAUAGUAACCGGGUAAAUAGUAACCCGUGAAUAGUACUCCGACACGAAAAAGUGUCCCAAAUACCCGAGUGAAUAAUACUAGAGUGAAUAGUAAUCGGGUGAAUAGUAACCCGUGAAUAGUAACUCGUGAAUAGUACUCCGAUACAAAAAGUGCCCUGAAUACCCGAUUGAACAAUAUAACCUCCAGACAUCAAUUAUUAUCGAAAUAAAUGUCGAUUUUCACUAACACUAAUUAUUCCAACACAAUGGAACUAUGAAAUUCAUCUUUAAUCAACACGAACUUAUUCAUCAUUAAUAUUAUAAUUCACAAUAUUUAACAACCAGGUCGUUCCCAGGAAAGAGGGGGCUUUCCGAUAAGGAUUUCUCCUUAUUGGCGCGCAAUUAGGUGACCAAACCUCUCCUUGACAGAACUUCUAGACAUUGUCAAUAUUGCAAAUAAUAAUAUGAAUAACUUUGUCGUCUCAAUUAUUGAUUUAAUAAUAUAACAUAUUAUGCAGAUGAUACUGUGACAAUAAUUGAAUCAAUAAUAUGAGAGAUAUGAUGCAGCAAUUAUUGUAGCAAUAAUUGAGUAUAACUGAGUGACUUCUCACAUAAGCAUCAAUAAUCAAUACCGUGUGCUACUAUGCAACCACGCGUAUUACUGUACUUUUACUACCGGUUAUUUUAUGACAACUUGCUUACUUUGAAAAAUUUUCACAUAUCACCCUUAACUUUAAACUUUUAUCAAUUUAACUAUUUACCAAAAUAGAAAAAUUGAAUACUUUGAUUUUAUAAAAUUCGGGGUCUUACAUCUGGAGGUUAUAUUGACCAAUCGGGUAAUUAACCGGAUAAAUGAGCAAUUAAUUGCUAUUAAUUCACAUGAUUAUAACUAUUUGUUCACAUGUGUGUACUAUUGAUUCGCAUUCAUGUACUAUUAGGGGAGGUGGUGCAAGAUUGAUAAUACUUGCAUGACUAAGUUAAAAAUGGAGGUAUAGAUGGAGGUACUAUACUGUAAUUCGUAUUUUCACAUGAUUAUAACUAUUGAGUCACAUGAUUGUACUAUUAAUUCACAUUAUUUACUAUUAGGGGAGGUGGUGCAAGUUUGAUAAUACUUGCAGGACUAAAUUAAAAAUGAAAGAAAAGUUGAAGGUAUUAUACUGUUAUAUUUCGAGCCCGAAAACGUGCAAUUAUCGAAACUAUAUUUUCCUAUAAAUAGAAGCUUAUUCCUUCAUUAUUUUUCACCGAUUCACAAAAGCUAUAGAGCAAUUAUUAUAGAGAGAAAUUAUAGAGAGAAAGAAGAAGAGAAGUCUGUUACCUCACUAUUCCAGUAUCCAGUUUUCUUCUGAGGUAAGGGGUAUUAUUCUUUCGUAUUUAUAAAGAGAGUUAUUUUCUUUCAAUACUCGUAAGGGUUGUUAUUUCAUUCUUUAUUAUUAUGUUGGAAUAACCUGUCUAUGCGAAGUACCGCAUACAUGGUGAAAUUCUUCUUUUAUUCCAUUCUUUAUUAUUCUGUUGGAAUAACCUGUCUGUGCGGUCUAUCACAUGCCUGGUGAAUUCUGUUGUUAUUCCAUUUUUUAUUAUUCUGUUGGGAAUAACCUGUUUGUGCGGUCUAUCGCAUGCAUGGUGAAUUCUUCUGUUAUUCCAUUUUUUAUUAUUCUGUUGGAAUAACCUGUCUAUGUGAAUUACCGCAUGCAUGGUGAAUGAUCCUUUGUAUUCAUUCCUUAUAAAAUUGUGGAAAUGAUCUGUCUACGUGGAUUACCGCAUGGCGGACGAAAAUCCAUUUGCAGUUUCGUAAUUUUUCUGACCCUCAAAAAUUCUGGAAAAAUUUGAAAUGAUGAUUUGUUGAGUUUUUUAGAUUGUGUCCAAAAAUGGCGAUUUUUGGAUGUAUAGAUUAGGAGUUAUGAAUUUUAUAGAAAAAAAUUAUUUUAAAAAUAAACCCUUAUAACUCCUUGUGGUUAACUCCAAAAUUGGUGAAAUUUUUAUUGGGAGUACAUGUAUAUAACAGGAGUAUACCCUGUAAAUUUUGGAAUUUUUGGACAAAAGUACAAUUUAUGAUAAAUGUCUAAAUAUUCGGCAAUUUUGGNNNNNNNNNNNNNNNNNNNNNNNNNNNNNNNNNNNNNNNNNNNNNNNNNNNNNNNNNNNNNNNNNNNNNNNNNNNNNNNNNNNNNNNNNNNNNNNNNNNNNNNNNNNNNNNNNNNNNNNNNNNNNNNNNNNNNNNNNNNNNNNNNNNNNNNNNNNNNNNNNNNNNNNNNNNNNNNNNNNNNNNNNNNNNNNNNNNNNNNNNNNNNNNNNNNNNNNNNNNNNNNNNNNNNNNNNNNNNNNNNNNNNNNNNNNNNNNNNNNNNNNNNNNNNNNNNNNNNNNNNNNNNNNNNNNNNNNNNNNNNNNNNNNNNNNNNNNNNNNNNNNNNNNNNNNNNNNNNNNNNNNNNNNNNNNNNNNNNNNNNNNNNNNNNNNNNNNNNNNNNNNNNNNNNNNNNNNNNNNNNNNNNNNNNNNNNNNNNNNNNNNNNNNNNNNNNNNNNNNNNNNNNNNNNNNNNNNNNNNNNNNNNNNNNNNNNNNNNNNNNNNNNNNNNNNNNNNNNNNNNNNNNNNNNNNNNNNNNNNNNNNNNNNNNNNNNNNNNNNNNNNNNNNNNNNNNNNNNNNNNNNNNNNNNNNNNNNNNNNNNNNNNNNNNNNNNNNNNNNNNNNNNNNNNNNNNNNNNNNNNNNNNNNNNNNNNNNNNNNNNNNNNNNNNNNNNNNNNNNNNNNNNNNNNNNNNNNNNNNNNNNNNNNNNNNNNNNNNNNNNNNNNNNNNNNNNNNNNNNNNNNNNNNNNNNNNNNNNNNNNNNNNNNNNNNNNNNNNNNNNNNNNNNNNNNNNNNNNNNNNNNNNNNNNNNNNNNNNNNNNNNNNNNNNNNNNNNNNNNNNNNNNNUUGAUUAUUGGUUUUACAGUUGUAUAUCUUUGGCUUACGUGCAAAGAUGAACUAUUGAUUGAUGAGUAUCUUUGGCUUAUAUGCAUAGAUGAACUGUUUAUUGGUAUGAUUAUAACCAGGGAUCAUUCAGUAUAAUCAUGACCCGUAAUGUUAUAGAUGAUGUGGUAAAAGUCCUCAUUGGCCCGUAGUGCAUUGAUGGACAGUUUUUGGUAUGAUUAUAAUCAGGAAUUAUUCGGUAUAAUCAUGACCAUUGAUGAUUACAUAAAUAUCCUCGGCUGUAGUGUAGGGAUGAUUCGAUGAUGUGGAUUAUUUAUUAAGCUGAGUCUCAGCAAUAAAAUAUUGAUUAUACACUUUUAAUUCAUAAAAGAUAGUAGAUAUCAUGCUCUACUUGACUCUUCUAAAAUACAGUUGUAUGUCUUUGGCCUGUAGUGUAAAGAUGAAUUGUUAAUGAAUACCUUUGGCCGUAGUGCAAAGAUGAAUUUAUUAGUAUUAAGAUAGGUGAUAAAAAUUAUCUUCGUCCUGGGUGAGAAGAGGAAGUUAGAAUCACAAUUAUGAUUAUGAGUUAUUCAUAUGAUUGUGGACAGAAAUUAUUGAUUGAUGUUAUAGGGAUAAAACAUUAUUGGUGGACUUUUAACAUGGAGAAGAUAAUAGAUCUGAUGGUCUAUUUGACUCUUCUAAUGGAUUGUUCGUUUUGCUGCAAUUAUGGUUGAAAAGUUUUAUCAUCUUCCAUAUAUUCUAAAUCUCUGAUUUAUUACUGAUGAAGGCUAUUGAUGAUGUAAAUUAUCUUUAGUCAUGAUAUUCUUUACUAGGCUAGUUGUGCUCACCCUUUUGCUUCAUAAUUUUUUUCAGGUAAUAAGAGUGUAGCUGGGUCGAGCGGGGGUAGCAGAAGAAUAGAACGGUGGUCUAUAGCUGUUAAGGUUCUCCCUAAAUAGUAUGGAAAUAAUUUUAUUGAGAACUUUAGAUAAGUGUGUCGUAUUGUAUACGUCAUUUGAUAUUUAAUUUUGGUGAAUCGAAUAGGGUGAGGUGAACCCAACUUUAGAAGGGUGUUUUGCCACUAUCAUACAAGAUGUCUAAUGACAUACAACCUCGUGUUAUCAUAAGACAGGGUUGUGCACAUCCACUUGCUGAGUAUAUCUACGAGCACUACCUAUAUAAUCUUGGAGUUUGUUUGAAAUAUGAUUCUCAAUUGGAGACAAUGGAGAUAAUUAUAAGUCAAGAGAAGACUCACCAUUGGAAAUAAGAUGAUAACAAUCUUCUUAUUUUUCUUUGGGGACUAUUGGGUCAACUAAGGAUAAUUCUGUGGACAUAUGAUAUCUAUCAUAACCUAGACGCAUGGCCUCCCAUGUACGAAGGUUUCCUUGAGUAUUUUCCAAAAGAUUUUAAUUUCUAAAACAGUUAUUGACUGUACUUUUAUGUAAAGUACCAUUGUAAGGUUGUGGUCGAGGCACCAUGAGAGUUACAUACAUUUGUAUUAAGACUCACAGUUUAACUGUGGUCGUAUUCUGCACGACAGUUUAACAGUUGUAUAAAUGAAGUUUGUAAAUGAUUUUUAUAGUGUGAUAUCUGGCGACUCAGAAUGGGUCGUGUGGACCUAUUUUGGGGGCGUCACAGUUUGGCUCAGAAGAAACAUGCUCUUGAUUAAUGGCUGAGCUCUUGAUUUGAGAUCUGGGACUUGGGAGCAGCGGCUAGGGCAAAAAAUGACUGAAUUAGAAUAAGUGAAUACUCAGAUAAUAAUAAUAGUAUAAAAUUAUUAUUUUUUUCAAUAUUAAUAUUUUGUUAUUCGGGUACCCGAAUUAUCUAUUUUUUAAAAUCAAAACCGAAUAAUGAGCAAUAAAUCGGAUAUAACCGAAAUAAGAAAAAAAACUGAAUUUUUUUUUGACAUUUUUGGAAGUGUGAUGGAUCAAAUAUUUUUGACAUUUUAUUUUUUAAGAAUUAAAAUAUCAUGUAAUAUAAUUGUAUACGCAAGUGGAAUUAGAAUUUGAUAUCUCAUUAAUGAAAUACUUAUGUCCGACAUCAUUAUUUUUAUUUUUAUAAACAUACAAAUUUUGUUCUUAAUUAUUGAAGAAAAAUUAAAUUCCAUACCAACACUUGCCUAUAAAUUUUUUCUUAAUAUUUUUAAAACCACUUUUACAUUGUGUAACAAAAAAAUUAAUUUAGGCAUGUUAUGUAACACCUCAAACCCGCUACAUACCCGAAAUGUUACACGUCGCAAGCUCAAAGGCCCGCAAGACAACAAUAUCAAUCGCGCAAAACCCAAUCAAAACAAAUUAACAAUAAUCUUAAACUAAACCCAACAAUAAACAUCUUUCAAUUCAAAUGAAAUACCAAUAAAUACCAAAUUUGAAUACGGAGAUGCAGCUCUCCGAAACUAAAAUUUUUAUUAAAAUUCAACAUUAAAAAAAAAUAACAUCAUAAAUUAACCUCCAGCUAUUUAAAGCGUAUAAAAUAAGUGCUCCGUUUUCAACGAUUCAAACAGUUACCACGAAAAAUAUACAAUUUUUUUUGGGUGAUUCCAAUUUUUGUGUUUAGCUUAUUUCCAGGACUUUCUUUUGACAGAAGACUCAUCUCCUAACUCGUUAUACACAAAGAGUUAUGGAUUUUACAAAAUCAAGUAGUAUACUAAUUUUUUUGAAAAAUUUUCAAAUUUUGCCCUUCAUUUGAUUUCUUGAUUUCUCUCGUUGAUUCUUGUUUAUACAAGUUUAAUCCAUCCCAUAUAUAUAUAUAUAUAUAUAUAUAUAUAUAUAUGUACUCUUUAAAUAAAAUUCAUAAAACUUAAAUCAAAAAAAUAAAUCAAAGGUUUUAAAUAUACAUUUUUACAAUUUGUUCCUUAUUUCUUCUUAUUUUUCUUCAUCUGAGCUCAUUUCUUCUCUCUCUAUUUUUUCUUUCUGCUGAACUUGCCGAGGGAAGAGAGUGGGAGUGAAAUGAAGGAAAUGUUAAUUUCCUUUCCCUUUUGUUUCUUCUUCUUUCUUUGUUCUUUUCCCUUUUCUCUCUCCCUCUUUUCUCCUUCUUUUUCUUUGUUUUCCUCCACCAACUCUCUCUCUCCUCUCUUAUUAGAUUUUAGCCGCCCACAUGGGUCGCUCUUCUAAAAAAAAAUUAUUUACUUUUCUCUUUUAUUUACUCAUUUAUUCAAUUAAUUGUCCGUUUAAUUAAUUAUUAAUUUAACAUUUACAAUUUUUAAAAUAAUAAAUAAAAAUUAAAUUAGAUUUUUAUUUCAUAAAAGUUGGGAUCUUACAAUAUCACCCAAACAUAUUUUCACUUUAUAUCUUACACACAUUGAUACUUAUUGUUUAUUUAUUUUUAAUUUAAUUUGUAUUUAGUUAAUUUAUUGAAAUUAUUUUCUAAAAUUAUAAUAACUUAGAUAUUAUAACUUUAAAAUUUAAAAUUAAAAAAAGUAUUUUCUUUUAUUAAUGUAGAAUUCAUUCAGCUAUACGUAUUCAUAUAUUUACAUAAUCGUUGCAUUCAUUAUGUUAUUGAUAUAUCUACAUAAUUAUUUGUCAAAUAAUAAGUCUACUAUCACAUAAAAAUCGUUCAUAUACAUUCAUAUGCAAUUAUGCAUAUUGGUAUGGUCCACGUGCAGAGCAAUUAUGUAGACCAUACCAAUAUAUAUGUGAGUGUAUAUAAAAAAUCUUUAAACAGUUUUAUGUGAUAGUAAGAAACCAAUACAUAUACAUAUAAUUACAACUAAUAACCUGACUUCCAUGAUUCAGAAUACAUACUAUAACCAUUUUUGUAUAUAUAUAUAUAACUAUAAAAUAGAGCAGAGAGAGAAAAAAAGAUAAGUGUCCCAUCCAAAAUUGAUGUCAUCAGCUCUCUCUCAUUUUUCCUUAUUCAAAUUUGAAAUCUUCUAUCCCUCUCUCUGUUCUUACACUCGAAACCCAGAAACAGAAGAAGAAGUCGAUAACCCUCUUCCUCGGCGAAGCUUGAAAAACGGUAGGCCUUACAAGGAGCUUGAAAAACGCAGAAGCAGAGAAGAAGUCGAAGAUCUACGACCUUCUCCUCUUGGCUCUCCUCUUCCUCGGCACCUUAGGUCAUGCUGAUCCGCAUUGGUAGGCCAUCAGAGACUCAAGGCACGACGAAUCCUUAUCUUGUUAUUUCUUCCUCGGCACUUUAUCUUGGUUUUUUUUCAAUUUCAGUUUGAUUUCUUACAAAAUGUAUAAAAUUCCUCGGCACCUUAUCUUGGUUUCUUCAAUUCAGUUUGGUUUUUUCAUUUUUUUCAUUUGUCUGAGGGUUUAGCUUUAUUGGGUUUAUAGGGUUCUUGAUUUAUUUUUUUUAGGGUUCCUUUGGAUUGGUUUGAUGUUUACAAUUAUGUUUUUUUGGUUAAAUUGUGGUAUACUUUUUCUCAUCGUUUCACUGCUUUACGUUUGGAUUAUCUUUUGAAUUUUCUGCCUAAUUUUGGAAUUGGGUUGCUGUAGAAAUAAUUUUUUGGCUGCUCUCUUUUUUCUCAGUUUCUUUACUGGAGGAUUGUAAUAUUAUGUUACAGUUCUACAUUUGGUUGUUUGGAUGCUUUUAUUUCUCAGUUUCUAAUAGCUCGAUGUUGGACUGAACAUAAAAUUUCUUUUUAAGCUGAUUGAUCUGUUCUUUUACUUUUGGAAUUGGACUGCUUGACUUGGAUCUUAAGUAUGUAGGUUAGAUCUCUGCUGCAUUGGGUGCGCACAGAAUUUUAAGCCUUAAUAGAGGCAUUAAUUUAUCAAGCCUCAGUGGAGGCAUUGUUAUGUAGCUUAUAUGGCUUUUUUUAGGAUUUAAGGCCCUUUACCCAUGUAACUAAAAUAAUGGAGUUUGUGGCCCUCUACCCAAUUAUGUGGUUUUCGUAUAAUAACGAGGCCCUCUACCUAUGUAACUAAAAUAAAUCGGCUGUCAAGAAUAGACAAAUUUUUAAUUUCAAUGGAGUUUGUAUAACAACGAGGCCCUCUACCCAUGUAACUGAUUUCUAAUCAUAUUCUUGCGAUUUUGGAAAGUAGUUGUGUUAGCGUGGGGAGGAUUUUCUUCCAUUUUGGAAGUGACAAAGAUAGCUCUUUACCUUCCUCUUCAUUAAUUUGUUGAGCUUUGUUGUUUAACCUGUUUCUGCAACUUGUCAUUGAAAACCUUUUGUUCUGCAUGUGGCUAACUUGUGUUUUGUUGAUGAUGUAAGUUAUCUGAUACAUUUACGUCUUACUUCAAAUAUAACAUGCUCAUAAUUCUAAAAUGUUGGCAUUGAAAUUUUCUUGAUAUUUAGUCCCAAUUUGAAAACAUUUUUUUUCUACAAAAGGAAUUAAUUUAGGCCAGGGUGGCUCAAAUUCUUUUUGAAAAAUGAAGGGAUGAUGUCCUAGCAUGAAGAGAUAGCUUUGUUUUUGAAAAUUUAAGUGUUGGUGCUGCUGUUUACUGGAAUUUUCCCCUAAAACUUUGAUAUAGAAAAGAGUUGUAGCACCACAAACAUAAUUUUUUCUUGGACCUACUGUUGCAUAUGUGACAUUCUUUGAUUUCUGAGUAGUGAAAAGUCUGUAAGAGGGCUUUUAUUUAUGCUAUUUUAUGAUUGUAUCUAGCAAUUUUUAAAUGAUGCCGUGAUUGUUAAUAAAAAUGCCAAAUUCAACGUAUAUUACUUUUUAUGUUUAUGCUGCCUUGGUCUUUUAUCCUCUUUUUGUUCUAAUUAUUUCUUCUCAUGGAUUUACUCAUGAUUGGUUUGUGCAACUUUUAUGCAGUAUAUUCACAGAUAGUGUGUCCAACGUUGGUGCAAUGAAAAAGGAGACGUAACUUGUAAUCCGCCAUCAGGUAUUCUUCUUUUUUGUGAACAAUGUUUUACAAUUGUCUUACUAGCAUAUGCUCUCUUUAAGAUCUAUCGGCUUUCCUUGGAAAAGUAUGAGAUAUUAAGCAUAGUUUACCCUUAUGUAUAUUAUGAUUUUGAGGCUUAAACUAACUACGCUGUUGGGGAAAAAUCUGACUAGCUAACAGACUACACCGGCGAAAGAGUGCUAUGAGACAUAUGAAAAGCACAAAAAAAACCAAUUGCUUAAGUAGAUUAAAGUUCUGCUACAAAGAUUGUUCUCAAGAGGAAACUCAAAUGGUUGUUUUAAGUUUUUACUUUUAAAAUUUUGUAUUUACCCUUUUGGAAGUUUUCACUUUGUGUACUUAGGUUCACCCUCCCCUUAAGAAGUUUGUAAUACAAUUGCUUUACGUAUCUGAAAAUAGUUUUGCAUGUGUAUAGGAGUACUAGCUAUAACCCGUGACUGAAGGCACGACGUAACGUAAAAUUGAAUUAAAUUUUAAAAAAUAUUACAUUAUCUAAAGACACAUACCACAACAAAAAUUAAUACAUACUCAAUCAUUAAUACAUAUCCAACCACCAAUUUUGAUGCUUUUAUAGUUUAUCUAUUUCCCCAUUCUGGUGUUUUGCAUGCUUUAAUUGUGUGUUUUAAAUAUAUCUCUCUUUAAAAUUGAAUUGCUUAAUUAUGUGUUCAUGCAUGCAAUAUGAUGUCCAAUGUGACGCCCCGAAAUCCGGUCUAUCUUCACACCCGGAUUCCGUACAUCACGAUCACAUCUUCUUCCAAGCAUACAUCAUUAUAUAGCUAAAUAUAACAACAUAUACUCUCAAAUCCCAAGUUCUGGAAACCUUAUAACCUUUUUCAUUUCAAAUAAUGAUAAAUACAUUAUUCAUUUCAUCUUACAAGAGUGACUUUUAUCCGCCACCAAGGAUACAUAAUAGUUCCUUAAACUAGUCUAUAGUUCAAUUUCAUCUUCCUAUAUUAUAAGUCUUCACUUGAUCUUCUCGCUUAUUCAUAUUCUGAAUAGCACAUCAUCUGGAUAUCGUCAUCUUGAUCUUUACGGGAUCCUUAAGUUCUUCUAACAUCGUUCGCUGAAAAUAUUUUUCAUUUAAAAGCAAGUGUGAGCAUUCAAUUGCCCAGCAAGUCAUAGUAUUUGAACAAACAUCUUCAAGGAUUCAAACGUUUCUUUAGAACUUCAAUAACCGAACAAAGGUUAUGAAGCAGCUUGAAUAAUAGGAAUAAUCUCGACUCCUAUCAUUUUAAAACAUUAUUCACAUGCACUUUGAAAUACUUUCAUUCUUCUACCUUUUUCAUACUCAUCAUGUCUGGCUAGAAUCAUUAGCACAGACUUAACAAUAACGGAUCAUGUAUAAACAGAACAUACUUGUAUUGAACAGCUCAAUCACAGACAAUUCAUAUCAUAGAAAUACCGAAGUGUUCACAUUGUGGCUCAAGGCCUCAUACGUUCUAUUACCUUGUACAAAUAUCGCACAUUCACACAUAGACAGAACUUCUCAAGUUCAACAUCUGAGAAGUUCAAGAAACUAGGAUUCAUUUAAAAUAUGAAUGAAGUUAGGAAACUUGCCUUACGCACAGCUACAACUUACGUUGAACUGCUCAUUCCAGUUCCUAUGUAGCACAUAAGAAAAACAACACAUACAUUAAUUAGUCAUACAUCUUUGACUUAUGCAUUAGUUUACUUAACUUUACUCUUUAGGGUUCGCGUUCUUGCAACCUAAUCUACGGCUUCAUGACAUACAGAGAUGUCUUACUUAUAUGUUCAUCAUCUUUGAUGUUUUACAUCUUAUCUUCUUCUUAUUACUUCUCUAAGACCUAGCUCACAUCGCUUCUCUGCUAAUAGUCCAUAUGGUACUCUGAGUGGUUUCCCACAAACAACCAACAAACAAGUUCCCGUCUCGUCUGCACUGCCCACAACAGUGAGUUAGAUCGGUUGCCAGUUUUGUAUAUACCUUCGCUCUCUGAAGGAAUUGUUUAGCCCAGCUUCCAUAUGUCAACCAUCAAAGGUUACGAUUGCACCACAAACUAACUUAUCUUAACUUAUCCGAACUAUUAAACUAUAUGUUCGUUAAAUUAAUUUCUCAUUCCUUAUGGCUUCCUGGCAACUAAAUGCCACGCCUCAGUAUUCACUCUUUAUCGUCUAAGUCAUACAAUCUUUUGUAUACUCAGAGCGAUCAUUCCCUUUAAUCCUUAACUCGGCUUCGUUACGUUAAACGUUAUUAUCUUUAAUUCAACUUCUUUACCGUUCACGGUUUAAUCAUUGACCUUCAUCAUCUUACGAUCAAACCAUACACGGGGUAUAGGUUUUAUCCGUUUAAUAUUUGCGUACCCACAACCUUCGCGUCGAUUAAAGUGUUCAACGCUUACAUUUUAUUCUAACGUUCUCAUCCGACUCACAUUCGGCUUCCAUUAAUCUUUUUACCGUUCAUUACGGCUUUCUUAAUACCAUUCGUUAUUCUUCUUUAAUGUCGAAGUCAUACAGUUCGCUGUAUGCUAAGACCACUCGUUUACCACAACAGCGUUGCGUACACAGCGUCUAAACGCUUCACACUUAUCUCUCACUAUCAUGACAUAACAUCAACAUGUUAUUCAUUACCCUCGUCCCUCAACGUCUAAGGAAUCACAACCCUAGCAAUCCCUCACGUUCGUUCAUCGCGACUACGGUCCCCGGACAUCGGUUAUGUAACUUGCGUUUAAAAUUCUUUAUCUUUUAAUCUCUUUUGACCAUUUCGUUCAACCUGUACUAAAGGUUAAAUUCACGUGAUAAAGUGUUAUCUUAGUUGAACAUUAUGUUCUUUAUCUUCCCGUACGUUUCCCAUAAGAGUUGAACAGUUAAAAGCUCUUCUCUGGCUUUUUCCCUACACUGGCAUUGCGGCGCCACUCUCCCUUCUAUCUCUCACGCCGCGACGCGAGUUUGUAGUACCCGACCCUUUGGUCUGGCGCUGCAGCCCCACCUUUCAAGGCAUGGCUGGCGCCGCGGCGCCAAGCCCUAACCCUAGAAAAUUUUCUCUAAGUCUUUGAUCAUUCUAAGACGCUUACUUCCCGCUUCCAUAACUUAUUCGUUAUAACUCGGAAUGAGGUCAUUCUAAAUCCAUUCUCUUCCUUAUCUUACGUACUUCAAUACCCGCAGACAGAACUUCAUUCUGAAUCCGUUAAUGUGCCAUUCGUUGGCUUGAUCUUCACCCUUUAUUCAUUUUACGCUUUUAACGCUCUUUGUUUGUUCGUCCGUAAUUCGGUCAUCCGAACUCGGAAUUCGAUCGUUCUUGAGUCCACGACUCACGUUUUCAACAUUUUCUUACAUUCUUAUGAAACCCUACACGUUCGGGUUCAUUUACUAACUUUCUAAUUCUCAUUUGUCUUUUACGAAAUUUUUGCCAUAACUUCGUUAUAGCUAAGUUUUAAUCCGUUCUUCAUGAAUGUUUCUACCGUUCCUAACCAAGCAAUAUGCAUCAAACUUAUAUGCGAUGGUUUUAAACUUGUCCAUCAACAACAAUUAUCCUAUGAUGGUUUUAAAUUUGUCCAUCAACAAUGUUCUUCGUGUUCUUCGCGUGUUCUUCGUGUUCUUCGUUCGUUCUUCAUUUUAAUCAAUAUUUUGGAUUACGAUUUCACUUUUUAUUGGAAUUUGAUGUUAUAGAACAUUAUUCCUUACUUAUUUCACCUACUUAUUGAUAUAAUCCACUCGGAUCGUUCUAAUUCAUUACGAAUCUUAUACUUCCUUAAGAAAUUUAUAAACUAAACUUUAAAUUCUUAUUUCUUCAUUUUCUUACGAUUUCAACCAUAUGAAAUCAUUCCUAACAUCAUAUACUUCUUAUUCUCAUUAAGUUAUGUUUUAAACAUAUAUAACUUAAAGAAAAUCUAACAUAAAAGUUAGGUUUUAAUACCUUUCCUCUUUAUUUUUCUUCCGCUAGACAAAACCGGCGAUUUGCUAGCUUUUCUAUUUCACGAACAUUUUCGAUCCGAUCAAUCAUGCUCAAGCUCUUCCUCCUCCCUCUCCAUCCGAACUCUCUCUCUCUCUCUCUCUCUCUCUCUCACUCUCUCUCUAGAUAUAGAAUUUUCAAAAUCCCAUUUAAAUGAAAUCUAGCUUCCAAUUUAUAGAUUUUCCAACGCUAGGGCAAAAUAGUCAUUUCACCCCCUUAACCUCCUUACUAUUCAUUACUUAAGGACUAAGUUAACUUACUCCUUAAGUUUACUUAACACUUAAGUCUACUUAGCCUUUAAGUUUGCUUAACUCUUAAGUUUACUUAAUACUUAAGUUUACUACUUCCACCUCCUUAGUUAACCUUCUUACUAUUCAUGAAACUUAGCGUUUAAGUUUCGUGGUUCCAUCUUUCGGGUUUCGUCCGACAGUUUUAGAAACUGCGAUUCUCAGAAUCCAAAUAUUUUUGGAUAUUUCGUCUUUCCUUUACCGAUUAACUUUUACGUAUUCCUCGAAUUUCCGAAAAACUGAAAAACACUUUUUGGCGUUGAGCAUUUUCCUUCACGUUUUACCCUAACGUAGCUAAACGAAUGAAAAGUACAUAGCAGUACUUUUCGUUGUUUUUAUUUUAUCCGAUUUCUGUACGUUUUUCGAGAAAAUUUUUUAUCGGCUUACUUAACUUUUUAAGAUAUAUUAUCAUCAAAUCGUUCGAUGGAAUGUCAUUUCGACAUACCGAACUCUCAGAACGGCUUAGGUUAUUCAAACCCUAACCCUUAGGUUUCGUCGGGAGAAUAGUGCCUAUUUCGUCUUUUUCCCCAAAAAUAUUUUUGUUCCCGAAUUUUUUUUAUUUUUAUCUUGAAAAUUAUUACUCGUUCAGUCUAGCUCGUAGCCAGAAUCCUCCCGACUUAUAAUCAUCCUAGGUUCUAGAACGAUUAAUAAACACAUAGCACAUAAUAUUAUUAAUAAAAAUUCAUUUUAUUAACAACUAAUUCUUUAAACUUAAAUUCUGGAAAAUCCAAAUUUUCGGGGCGUUACAUCCAAUGCCAUAAUUUUGAACAUGGAUUUAGUUGUUCAUUGUUGGUAUCUAUCCAGGUGUUAAGACCUUUAAAUCUCAACUUAUGAUUUCGCCUUGGGCUUCCCUUUGUGCGGAGUUAUCUUGGGCAAACUCGCUCUGUUGAUUACACUUCCGCGGUUCAAAAAUGGUAAUUGAUUUUAUCAAUAUAUAUAAGUCAUAAUUUUUAAUAGCUUUUUUUCAAGUAAAAUGAGUGAAUGGAUUUGGUUCGCAUACCAUUUUCUGCUUAUGAUUUCAAAAACUUGUUCAAAAACUGUAUUAUGAGCCCAAAUAGUGGCACUUAGUGUUUUGGGUGCCCACUGAAGCUUGAAACUUUAGGAAUAAGCGUAGAGUAUAAUGGAAAAUACACGAAAAUAAAGCAAGGGUGUUUGCAAAUUUGGCACUUCUAUACUUCUCUAUGCCCUUUUAAGGAAGCUAACCUGAAUAUUAAAAUAGGUUAUAGAUAUAGAUUUGCUUGCUGAUGUAAUUAAUCACGUCACCCUGCCCCAACUUGAUUCUUUCUGUGUCUCAUAAAUAUAUUGAUUUUAAACAAGAUAUAAACAAAUCUGUGUUUUGAAGUUUGUGUUUGUAUUUGUAUUUGACUAUUUGAGUAUUUUAGGUGUUGGUCAAUAUUUAGCGGAAGCUGCAAAAAUAAGAAACCAUGAUAUGACAAAAUUUGCAUCUUUACUUUCUUAAUUUCUUUAUCAUUUUUUUAUUUUAAAAUUAUUAGUUCUAUGUCCAAUGUAAGAGUUGUUUGUGAUCCCUACCAAUGAACAUAUGCAGAAGCAUGAUUUGCCACAGAAUGAUGGGGUAAAAUGUGAUAAAAUUUGUGAUAACCUCUGUUGAAUUGUAACCUAAGGGUUGCCACCAGUUAAAAGAUCCCUCUAUUCACAAUCUUUUACUAAAUAUUUGGUGCAUAAAUCCAUUGUUUAUCUUAGGGUAUACAAGUUCAGGAUUAUAACAUUAUUCUUAAUGAAAAAGUGACACCAAUUAAAGAAGUUAAACAUAAGAUAUCAAGAAAAUAAACUCAAUCUUUUAUUCUGAUUCAACUUCCAACAGUUUGAAACCUCAACUAUCAUCAAAAUUGAGGGAAUUCCUCUCUUACAGAACAAUAUAUAUAGUUUGGAACAAUUGAAUGUUUUUUGAAACUAAGCAUAGUUUUAAUCAAAUGUUAAGUUUUUGUCAUGAUAUUCAAGAUACGAAAUCUGUCUUUGCAGCUUCAUUUGCUCAUGUUUAACUCAUGUUUAAUUUAUUAAGUUUGCUCUUACAGGUUGAUCUAAGUGAUAGUAACAACAUACCUGUCAAUGUUUUGUCUAAAUGUGCGCUUAAUCAAUUACAUUUGAAGAAGGUAACACUACUGGUAUUGUUAAAAAUUUUAUUUUGAUAUUAGUUUGCAUUUUUUUGACUAAUGUCUUAUUUUGUACUUCCUAGGAGAAUUCACAUGUGAAUCAUUGAAUACCCCAAGUGUUAUUCCAUCUUCAAGGAAGGGGAAAGAAAAAAUUGGUUGUUCUAUUGGAAAAGAAAAUUGGUUUAAUCAAUCGGUAUGUUGUACUAAUCAUUGUUUAUCUUUUGCUAAAAAUUGGUUAGAGCAUUAUACACUAAAUUGUCGGUGAUAUUUUUGAGUUCCUCAUCCCUCAGUCUCAGUCUCACUCACUCUUACACUUCUCUCUCACGCACACACGACUCCAUACCAUUAGGGGUGCUCAUCGGUAAAAAACCGAACCGGUACCGAAAAAACCGGAACCGGUACCAAACCGAACAACCCAAAAAACCAAGAAUCGGUACCGGUACCGAAUAACCGGUUUCGGUACCGGUUCGGUAUAAAGUCGGUACCGGUUUUUUCGGUUCGGUUUUCGGUUAUACCGCAUGUAUAUAAUUAUUAAUGUUUUGGCAUUUUUCCAUCCCUUUAGAGCUUAUUUACUUUGUUAAGAAAUCUAAAACAGUGGCUAAUCAUCUCCACAGUUUAUUUACUUUGUUUACUUUAGAGCUUAUUUACUUUGUUUAGAGCUUAUUUACUUUGUCAGUACUUUGUGGAAUUUCACAGUUUCACCAAUAUCCAUCAUGGUAGAGACUGCUAACCAUCUCCACACAUGGUUGCUUCUUGCUUGUGGUUUGAUGGGGUAUCUUAUUAUAUGUGUAAUGUGUGUAUUAAGUAAAUGAUUACCUUCUCCAAACCGUGGCUGAUAUCAUAUGAACAUAUAAAUAAGGCUUUUUAUGUCAAAAAUAAGAAGUCAGUUGAAAACAAUUCUAAAGACUUGCCAGUUGCCACCAUUCUAAAGACUUGAAAACAAUUAUUUUUCAGAAUGUGAAUUAUUUCAUAUAAAUAGUAAAGUUAGUGUUGACGAAAAUAAGAUGGUACUAUGUUGCAAAGAGCCAAAGCUCCCUUUGUCCUCAAUGAUUUUUCCAGUUCAAAGUUCCCUCUGUAACAAAACAAGGCCAUCACUCUGUUAUGUAACAAAACAAAACAUUCAGUACCAAAUUUACUGUACCUUAUUUUAGAAUGCUAACACAUGAAAUCAAGGCCAUCACUCUAUUUUAGAAUACUAACUCAUGAAAUGAAAUCAGAAGUCAGAACCCUAUUGGAUUUACCGUACCCAUACAAGCAUUCAGUACCAAAUUUACAUAUCCAAGAUUAAAAACCUGGAAAUUUCUGGAAUACUAUUAUUGCCCAGUAGCAGUAGGUACAUAUUACAUAAGCAUUCAGUACCAAACUUUAAACAUAUACUAUUAUUAACCAUAAGCAUUCAGUAGUCAGUACCAAAUUUACAGAUCCAAAUUUAGUCAUGAAAUUCCAAAGAUUACUGCCCAUUAGCCCAGUAGGUACAUAUUACAUAUCCAAGAUUAAAAACAAACAACGCACAAGGCACAAUCGCCUGCUAAAUCGCUUGUUGAAUCAAUAAAUCAACCAUAUUACAUAUCCAAAAUUGAUGCAUCUACAUCGCCUGCUGAAAAUUCUGCAAUUUUUAAAAGACAAAUGUGAGCAAAUCAUAAUUUAUUAAGAAGAAUUUAAACUACAUUACAAUGAGCCUUACAUAGAGAAAGGGAUAAAAUCAUGUAUACUUUUUAUUGUGUAAAAUCAAUACAGUCCAAACCAUAGAGAAAGGGAUACUUGAAUCAAAAAUAAUACCACUGCCAGUCCAAAACCUAGUCAAUUACUCUAUUUUCUGAGAGCAGUGUAACUGUGUAAGGGCUCCUCUUUUUCUCGGGGUGUAGCCCAAAGAAUAAUACACCAUUUCAUUGUAUGUAGCAUAAAUAAAAACAGUCCAAAUUUCUAGACAAGAUCCAGGCCAAAUGGACAUUUAUCAAUAAUUACACUUGAAAGAUCAUACAGCCUACAAAGAAAGUAGUUAUGAACCUGGAACACACAAUACACUAUUGAACGCUUCAAAUUAUAGAUCACAAAAUAUUAUAUUCCAUUCGGAUAUAUUGUUUACAACAGUAGGUUACAGUAAAAAAUGAAGGCAUUAAAAAUGUACAAAUUAUCUUCAUAAUGCCUAAAAUAUUGAUGACCAGUCCAAGCCAAAGUCAACAGAAACAAAUACUACUCCAUCAUAUCUGCAGUUUCUUAUUAGUUAUUAACUUGGAAAGUGAAGUCUAAUUGACAAACCAUAAUAUUCUCACAAUAAUUUUAUCAAACACCUAAUAGACGGUCGAAAAAAAAUUACUAUCAUGAGGGCAUAGUCAUAGAAUAUAGAUUAUGAGAAGAUAAAUAUAGCAAAAAGAUUUUGUGGUACUAUGGUCAAAAGAUUCGAAACACCUAGUAUACAGAUCUCAUAUCUCAGAGUGAAGAAAUCAGAAAUUAGAAAGUAUUAUAGUGUAUAUGAUGUGUACAGAUCUGAGAUCUCACGAGUCACGACUUACCGUCGGCGUCUAGUCGGAGAUGCUUAGAUUUGAGAGAGGGCAGGUCGGCAGGUUGAGCUUUAAUGGAGGAGAAGCUUCAAUGGAGCCAUGGAGGAGAAGUUAUUUCAUAUUUGUGAAGAAGACUGAAAAACUAGUGUAGAAGACUGAAGAGAAGAGGUCUGUAGAGACGUUAAGACUGAAGAACAGAAGAAGAGUAAAGUGAAGUCUCAAGUCUGUAAAAGAGAGAAAGUGAGUAACUGAGAACGGA